CCGUGGUGUGGAAUAGCUGCUGUUGAAGAGGGAACGUUGGCCUGUCGAAUCGGGUUGGGUUUGAUUGGUAGAGUAUUAGAACUGAGAAAAAAAUGUACAAAUGUUAGGUGUGAUUAAGGCUAGUAAAGAUGGGAGUAUGGCUGCUGGUUAAUCUGUGUUUGGCUGUAUAGUCCUUUUUCAAUGUGUUUUGUCCUCCUUCGCUCCUGUUUUUUCGGUUAUGAGCUCUCAAUACUUGUGUAAUAUGAUUGCUUUUGGGCUGUUUGAAGACAUGUUGAAUCGGGUUUAUGUGUUAUUUAGGAUGAACUUCUUGCACUGCUGUUAAAGCCUAAAUAUAUUGUUGCUGUUACAUUUAUGUAUCCAUGUUGUUGGUCCAUUUCAUUGAUGAUGUCUUUUGGGCUAUUUGAUGACUUGGUCGAAUUGGGUUUAUAUGUCAUUUAGGUUGAAUAUUUCUUGCACUGCUGUUAAAGAUGUACAUUGUUUUUGUAAUUAAAAAUGUCAAAUACAUUACACUGGCUGUGAUAAUCUGUAACUUGCUUAAUUAGGAUAUGGGUAUUUUGUUCAUUGUAGUUCUAAUUCAGUCAAAACAAAAAUAGGCAUCACCUUCUCUGAGUAGAAAGAUGUCUGAAUAUUGUUUAUGCCAUUGGGAGAGAAAUUUACUGGAUGCAUAGAUUUCUUUGCUUCUCUUGAGAUUGAGUUAGGGGUCUAAUUACCCAAAACAUAUGUAGAGAUGAAAAGGGUAAAGUAAAACUAGAGGAUCUAUUUGUCAUAAAACAGAGGAUUUUUUGGGCUCAGCUGCAAUAUUGUAUAGUGGAUAUGGUGUAGCUGAAACAACUAAAGGUGAUCAGAAGGGUCUUUUUUUUGUAAGAGAAGACGAGGCACCAACAGAAGGCUCCAGGGGCAUACAUGNNNNNNNNNNNNNNNNNNNNNNNNNNNNNNNNNNNNNNNNNNNNNNNNNNNNNNNNNNNNNNNNNNNNNNNNNNNNNNNNNNNNNNNNNNNNNNNNNNNNNNNNNNNNNNNNNNNNNNNNNNNNNNNNNNNNNNNNNNNNNNNNNNNNNNNNNNNNNNNNNNNNNNNNNNNNNNNNNNNNNNNNNNNNNNNNNNNNNNNNNNNNNNNNNNNNNNNNNNNNNNNNNNNNNNNNNNNNNNNNNNAGCGGCAAGCAGCCUCGCAAUAGACCUCAAGUGGGGUGCAUCUCAUUACGUGGCCCAAAUCGGUAGAGAGACAGAGCAUGGUGCUAUUUUUUCUUCCUCUCCGUCCUACUGUACGUGCCACACGCCGAACAUGAACGAUGAACAUCGUUGUGUUGAGUUUGUCCCCAGAGUUAGAUUGUGUUGUGUUCAGUUGUAUUCUCUAGCUUUUUUUUUGAGAAAUUAGUUGUAUUCUCUAGCUGUUGGCAGCAAUCUAGCCCCAACAUUUUGACCUCUACAUCUAAAAAAAAACAUUUUGACCUCUAAUGAAUAAGUCUGAGAUGGAAUGCUACUAGCUGGUUGGCUGGUAGUAAAGAGCUACUCCCUCUAUUCCUAAAUGUAGUGCGCAUAAAUUUUUCAAGAAGUCAAACAUUGUUUAGUUUGACCAAGUUUAGUGAGAAAAGUAUCAACAGAAAUAAUACCAAACAAAUAUAAUAUAAAUAUAUGCUUAAUGAUGUAUCUAAUGAUAUUUACUUAAUAUUGUAGAUGUAGAUAUUUGUCCUCUAUAAAUGUAGUCAAAGUAGGGGGAGUUUGACUUUUGAACUUCCUAUGCGCACUACAUUUAGGAAUAGAGGGAGUACGUAGUAGCUGCUGAAAACGGUGGUGUAUUGAUGAACCUACUGCUUGCUUUAAGGUUCAGGUCAGCGUGUGCAGCCGGCAAUUUCAAGUGACCCUUGGGGUUUUCAGCUGGCAAUUAUCACCAGUGUGUGCAGUAAUGUUAUACCAGAGGCACAAGUUGGGAGAGAGGAUUUAGUUUUUGAUGACACAACCGAGUCAGAAUCUACCUACGGGGGGAGCUGAACAAGCAGAGAAGGUGCAGUUCCGUCAGGAACCCGCAAAAUGGGCCAUUCGCCUUCAGAAUAUCAGCUGAGAAGCAGAUCACGACAGGAGUUCCGACGAUCAUUCUCAAGGCGGCCCCGAGCGUCGCACCACAAAACCAAUAUAAAAAAUACGCGCGUGUUGGUGGCAGAAGCAAUGCAUCUCAGUUUUCAUCGCAUGCUGUUCAGGUUGAUCAAGCGACCCGUUGUCCGACUCCGAUCUUGGCCAACUUCAUUGAUUGGUCAUCCAGCCAGAGCCGGGGACCUGGUCCCGGGUCUCGAUCCGCAAGUUGCCAUGUAGACACACGGGAUAAAUGGGGGGAAACUUGAGGAAUGGCUCUGAAUCGACCUACCAUCCAUCACGCAGGUAGGUUAUCCUUUGAUUUCUUUCUAGAGUUAGUUACCUGACGAAGAGGUGUAAGUAAGAACACCCUGCUGCUUUCUCUUCUCUUCAGGGCAACUGUCAGUCUGCCGCACUACGGGCUGGACGGGCAAUCUCUCUUUCAGGUGUACGUGUCACAGGCAUUGUUUUCAGCUGGCAAUUUUACCAGCGUAUGUAUCACAGUAUCAGUGCCCCAAGUUAGGAGAACCGUCUUCAACCCAGAAUCUGGGCUGGAGCAAGCAGAGCCCAUGUGGAAAUCGACACCCACAAGAAAGAUCAAAACAAGGCACUUAAUGCACCAGCUCACGCUCGUGCCCAAACCCAACCCAGAUAUAUAGAAGAAACGAAGCUGAGGAUCACAACAGGAGCUCCUCUCCUCUCCCCCAUGAUUUUCUCUACCUUCCAAGAACCCGUGAUCACCCCACAAUCAAUCAUUCCUCGAACGGUCCCGAACGGCAGCUGGUCCCGUUCCGUAUUCUCCCCACUAAUUCCCCCCUCCCGAAUUUUACUGUAUGGACCCCUUUGAUUUUCUUUUGACCUCGGGUUGGGUUUGUUUGCUACUAGCAGAAUACUACAGUACUGUAGAACUGAGAAAACUGUACAAAUGUUAGGUGUGAUCAUGGCUACUAAAGAUCGAUCGAGUACGGCUGGGUAACAAGCGUUUGGCUCUGUAGUCUUUUUCCAAUGUAUUACGUCCUCUUUUGCUCUUUUUUCGGUUAUGAGCUCUGAAAUCUGAAUACUUGUGUAAUAUGAUGCCAUUUGGGCUGUUUGAAGACUUUUGGAAUUGGGUUUGUAUGUUACUUUGGGGCAACGAAGAUAAUAUGAAGGCAGUCCGAGAGCUUUCUGGUAAUGGUGCAGGUUUUAACAGGCAUUGACUUGACCUGCAAUCCUGAUGCUAUACUUUCUUUUCUUCAAGACUGGUACAUUCAGACUUAUUCUAUGCUACAUUCAGCGUCUGUUGAUGAGGACUUUAUCCUUUGUGCCCAGGAUAAAUGGAUAAUAGGAAUGGCGGUGCUUUCCUGAAUGUACUUUGAGUUGUGAUACAUUGGUGUUUACCUGAAUGGCUGAAUCUCAGGUUUAACUUGCAGGUUUUAUUUUACUUUUCUGUAGUAUAGCGUACGAAAGGAAUGUUUUCUGUACCUGGCAAUUGUAUACUGAAGAAAUGAUAUUCUUUGUCAUGCCUCCGAUAGUCUAAAAGACGUUUCAUCUUUAAAGUAUAUAUAUGCAAUUUUCUAUGGACCAAAAUAUCCGUAGUGGGGGCAAAAACCAUGAUUACUUAAGAAAAAACAUGAACUCUUCUGUGAUGGCGUUUGUUAUCUGAUUCCAGAUAUCACAGUGACGGUUUAAUUUAGGAUAGAUUUCCUGCACUGCAGCUAAAGAUCUUGCAUGUUAUAUUUCUGUCUCCACAUUGUGUUUGCAUGUGAUAGGAAAUGUCAAUGCAUUACACUAGCUGUGACGCUUGCUUAAUUGGAAUAUGGGUUUGCAUCAGACAGAUAGGAGUAAUUGUUUUUGCCUUUUCUCCUGUGGGUGUGGUGUAUUGUCUUUGGGAGAGAGAUUUAUAGGAUGCAGAGAUUGCUGUACCUCAGUUGAGAUUGAUAGUUUGGGAUAUAAUUACUGAAAACCUUCUGAAGAGGGCAGCCAACAAGUGCCACAGAGAAAAGAAACAAGACAAAUAUAGUAAGCGACGCUCCAUUUAGGACUUCAUCAAUGUAAAGAUGAGCAACUGAAAGUACAAGGGUGUAUCUGUUAGAAACAGAGGAUGUCAGGGGCCAUGCUGUGAUAUUGUGAGAAGGCUCCACGGGCAUGACUGUAAUAGAGAAAGUAGCAGCCAGGGACCAGCGCGGAAAACUUCAAAAAAAUUGGACCAUUUCUCAAUUUGUGCAUGUCAUCCUUGCGCAAGGGCCAUGCUAAUCUUCUCUGUAUCGUUCCAAUUUUAUUAGAUGUCAGAUGUCCCAGAAGGGACAAGACUGGCUGCAGCGAGCGAGCUUAUAAACCGGUCGGAACUCUGCUGGACAGGCGAGGUGGGACUAAACGAAAUAGAACUGCUGCGUUGCUCUCCCCAGCCGCUGGGCUUGCACGUCGACCACCCGACAAUGCCCGAUCAUGCGGGCCUAAAAGUCCAGCGCGAGACCGUUGCUGAACUCACGUGGGCUGCAUCUCACUACGUAGCCCAGAUCAGUAGUGAGAGCCAGAGGGCAGUUAUCUUCAGCUCUCUCGUAGUUCCUCCUAGCAGUGAUCAAUAUUCCUAGUUCGAUUCCCUCCUAGCAGAGAGUAACAAUAUGUUCCUUGAUAUAAAUAUGAAUGUGUUGAGCACCAGAACUGUCAGAAUAAUGGGCUUGGUUCCUUAAGAUUUUCUGAAAUUCCUAGUGUAAAUAUCAAAAGCUUGUAUACUACCACGUCUUUUCGGCUUUUCCAUGUUGUAACACAAAGUGAAAUGGGCUCAACUGGUUAGCUAGCGUUAGUUUCCCACCUGGUGCCCAAGUAGAUGCAUUAUUCUCUGAUUUUUUUUAACAUACAUUAUGCACCGGUUCUCCAUUGUAAGCAAGUAGGCAUGUAGGCGUCCGCGAACGUCCGUAAGAUAAAAAUUAAGCCUAGCGUGAUUAUGAAAGUAACAUUGGAGCUUGAAUAAAUUUAACUGUGCACAUGGUAAAGUUACAACCUCAUUCAUACCUAAAUACUCUGUUGUAUAGUAAACAGGCUCUGCAGGCAGCCAAGCAUAAGUCAGUAGAGCACAAAUUCAACUACUGGAAAUUCAGGUGGGAUUGAGUACCUGUGGAAAGAUAUUGUUGACCAUGAUGUAUCCUCUUAUAGCGGAUCAAAUUUCCCCCCUUUAACCACCGAGUGGAUUUUCAUUUCCAAGGAUACAGUAAAAAAAACAUUGGGAUGACUAUGUGAGUUCUUUUUCAUUCUUGCAUACAGCAGGCCAUGUUGAUGACAGAUAGCUUGGCAUGGUUUGUGUGAUUAACAGGGAGAUGAGUCUUACAAUUUGUAACAUCAGCAGUAAGAUGGAUGGUGGUAUUUAAUAGCAUUGCUUUGUCAGAGUUUUAAGAAAAAAUAAAUUCAUAUCAAUGAAGUCAGCUGGUUGUAUCCACAAUUAUUGUUUGCUUGCCACUUGAGAAUUUCAGAAAUUGAUUGACUUAUGAGCAAGUCAUCCUUCUUGCAUCUUUUCUGGCACUUUGUGGACAUAAAGUUGAUGAAGAUAAUAUGCUCUGUUUUGGUCAACGAAGUUUGAUCGAAUUCAGGUGGAACGGUCAGUCAAUUGCAAGCGAAAGUAUUUCUGGAUUUGCACUUUUGUUUUGAUUCAUAAUAUACAUUUAUCGUGCAUGAACUGCAGUUUUUAGUCCCUUAAUAUACACUACUGAUGUUUUUCUAGCUUGCAUUCUACAUAGGACAUGUACUUAUUUCCUAUGCACUACUCCCCUAACUACAAGGCAUUGCUAUGUACUCCCUCCGUUCCGAAAUAUAAGUCUUUGGAGAGAUUCCACUAUGGACCAUAUACAAAGCAAAAUGAAUGAAUCUAUACUCUAAAAUGCAUCUAGAUACAUCCGUAUGUGGUUCAUAGUGAAAUCUCUACAAAGACUUAUAUUUAGGAAUGGAGGGAGUAUAUUGUUACUUUCCUUCCUAUUGAUCGCUGGUGUUCCUCUGAUAAUUGUCCAAAAAUUAAAAUCACAAAAUUAUCGAUUUCUAUCGGUUUUGCUAUUUAUUUUUAGCAUUGUUAUAGUAGCUUUAAAAUUGAGUGUGUCCUGACUGUUAUGGUGCCUUUACGAUCAUACAUGUUCUUAUUUGCAGCAAGAGUCAUGAAACAUGAGAAAUGAUCGCUAAGGCCACAGUGGAAAUGCUUUGCAUGUUGCCACUGAAAAGGUCGGCAUGGAUAUGACAAUAGUAGGGCACAGGUUCCUACCUCUUUAUGGAUGAAGAAGGUGAUGUGAGGCAUGAAGAUUACUCGAAACAGGCUUUCGCGCCGCUUUAUAUAUAAAGCCACAACCGAACAAGGUACACGGCCGAAUGAUACAAGGUGGAGAGGUGGCCCUCUUACAAAGCCGAUCCCAAGAUAACUGGCAAACGCAGAACUCUAAGCAACCGAAAAAGAGAAAAAGGAAGACAUGAACGCAACACCAAACUAUGCCCUAGCACACCUAAGCUCCACAACAACGCCCUCAUGAGGGAGAACGGCGCAUGGGGCAUGUGUUGGCCGGCUGGGGCUCUACUUUUACUGCAAGAAAGGUCCUGGAUAAUAAAAUUAAGUUAAAAUUUCAGCCCGAUCGGAGUUACGAAUCUCUUCCUAUUUAAGAAAUGAUGAGACAGAAAACAGAGAUCCAAUCUAGGGGAGAGCUCCUCUCCCUCCGAAGGGCCGAGGAAUAAGAAUAAGGAGGGGACCUUUCCCCCUCUUUGCUGGUAGCGCCGGAACACCGUCGGGGACAUCUUCGCCAUCUCCAUCACCAUCACCAACAGCUCUGUGUGUGUGUGUGUGUGUGUGUUCUCAUGGUGAUGUGUGAGCAGUGUUGGGGAACAUAGUAUUUCAAAAAAUUUCCUGCAAUCACGCAAGAUCUAUCUAGGAGAAGCAUAGCAACAAGCGGGGAGAGUGUGUCCACGUACCCUCGUAGACCGAAAGCGGAAGCGUUUAGUAACGCGGUUGAUGUAGUCGAACGUCUUCGCGAUCCAACCGAUCCAAGUACCGAACGUACGGCACCUCCGCGUUCAGCACACGUUCAGCUUGAUGACGUCUCUCGAUCUCUUGAUCUAGUUGAGGACGAGGGAGAGUUCCGUCAGCACGAUGGCGUGGCGACGGUGAUGAUAAAGUUACCGGCGCAGGGCUUCGCCUAAGCACUACGACGAUAUGACCGAGGUGUGUAACUGUGGAGGAGGGCACCGCACACGGCUAAGAGAAGACUUGGUGUGCCUUUGGGGAGCCCCCCUCCCACGUAUAUAAAGGAGGGGAGGAGGAGGAGGCCGGCCAAGGGGGGCGCGCGCCAUGGGGAGUCUAACUAGGAUUCCCAAUCCUAGUUGGAGUCCCCUUCCUUCCAAGAGAGGGAGAGAGAGGGAAGGAGGAAGAGGGGAGAAGGAAAGAGGGGGCGCCGCCCCCCUCCCUAGUCCAAUUCGGACUGGCCAUGGGGGGGGGGGCGACCUCUCUUGUGGCCCUCCUCUCCUNNNNNNNNNNNNNNNNNNNNNNNNNNNNNNNNNNNNNNNNNNNNNNNNNNNNNNNNNNNNNNNNNNNNNNNNNNNNNNNNNNNNNNNNNNNNNNNNNNNNNNNNNNNNNNNNNNNNNNNNNNNNNNNNNNNNNNNNNNNNNNNNNNNNNNNNNNNNNNNNNNNNNNNNNNNNNNNNNNNNNNNNNNNNNNNNNNNNNNNNNNNNNNNNNNNNNNNNNNNNNNNNNNNNNNNNNNNNNNNNNNNNNNNNNNNNNNNNNNNNNNNNNNNNNNNNNNNNNNNNNNGGGGGGGUCCGGUAACCGCCGGUACUCCGAAACAACCCGAACCAUUCCGAUGUCCGAAUGUAACCUUCCAAUAUAUGAAUCUUUACCUCUCGACUAUUUCUAGACUCCUCGUCAUGUCCGUGAUCUCAUCCGGUACUCCGAACAAACUUCGGUCAUCAAAUCACAUAACUUAUAAUACAAACCGUCAUCAAACGUUAAGCGUGCGGAACCUAUGGGUUCGAGAACUAUGUAGACAUGACCGAGACACAUCUCCGGUCAAUAACCAAUAGCGGAACCUGGAUGCUCAUAUUGGCUCCUACAUAUUCUACUAAGAUCUUUAUCAGUCAAACCGCAUAACAACAUACAUUGUUCCCUUUGGCAUCGGUAUGUUACUUGCCCGAGAUUCGAUCGUCGGUAUCAUCAUACCUAGUUCAAUCUCGUUACCGGCAAGUAUCUUUACUCGUUCCAUAAUGCAUCAUCCCGCCUAACUCAUUAGUCACAUUGCUUGCAAGGCUCAUAGUGAUGUGCAUUACCGAGAGGGCUCAGAGACACCUCUCCGAUACACGAAGUGACAAAUCCUAAUCUCGAUCUAUGCCAACUCAACAAACACCAUCGGAGACACCUGUAGAGCAUCUUUAUAAUCACCUAGUUACAUUGUGACGUUUGAUAGCACACAAAGUGUUCCUCCGGUAUUCGGGAGUUGCAUAAUCUCAUAGUCAGAGGAACAUGUAUAAGUCAUGAAGAAAGCAAUAGAAAUAAAACUAAACGAUCAUUAUGCUAAGCUAACGGAUGGGUCUUGUCCAUCACAUCAUUCUCUAAUUAUGUGAUCCCAUUCAUCAAAUGACAACACAUGUCCAUGGCUAGGAAACUUAACCAUCUUUGAUUAACGAGCUAUUCAAGUAGAGGCAUACUAGGGACACUCUGUUUGUCUAUGUAUUCACACAUGUGCUAUGUUUCCAGUUAAUACAAUUCUAGCAUGAAUAAUAAACAUUUAUCAUGAUAUAAGGAAAUAUAAAUAACAACUUUAUUAUUGCCUCUAGGGCAUAUUUCCUUCAAGAAGUUCAUCCUCGGCGCUGAGGGUAUGUACUAGUUGCUAUUUGUUCAAUAUCUCUCUCCCAGUUUCAAAUCUCUAUGUCUCCCUCCUUGACUUGAUCGCGGAUGGAAUUGAAGCGUCUCUUGAUGUGUUUGGCUCUCUUGUGAAAUCUGGAUUCAUUCGCUAAGGCAAUUGCUCCAGUAUUGUCACAAAAGAUUUUCAUUGGACCCGAUGCACUAGGUAUUACACCUAGAUCGGAUAUGAACUCUUUCAUCCAGACUCCUUCAUUUGCUACUUUUGAAGCAGCUAUGUACUCCGCUUCACACGUAGAUCCCGCCACGACGCUCUGCUUGGAACUGCACCAACUGACAGCUCCACCAUUCAAUAUAAAUACAUAUCCGGUUUGUGACUUAGAGUCAUCCAGAUCAGUGUCAAAGCUUGCAUCGACAUAACCAUUUACGACGAGCUCUUUGUCACCUCCAUAAAUGAGAAACAUAUCCUUAGUCCUUUUCAGGUAUUUCAGGAUGUUCUUGACCGCUGUCCAGUGAUCCACUCCUGGAUUACUUCGGUACCUCCCAGCUAAACUAAUAGCAAGGCACACAUCAGGUCUGGUACACAGCAUUGCAUACAUGAUAGAACCUAUGGCUGAGGCAUAGGGAAUGACUUUCAUUUUCUCUCUAUCUUUUGCAGUGGUUGUGGCACCCCGGCUCAGAGCAACCGGUUUACCAUGCAUUGCCAGCCCAAAGAUUAUGUCUUCUGGCAACACACAACAUCUUGGUAUAGAAAACAACCACUAUAUUGAUGCUAGCGGAUCAUAGUUCAUAUUACAACAGGUGGCGAGGCCAAGCGGCACACACGGUGCGGCUGAACAAUAUGUACAUUAUUUAGUGAACAUAAAGGGGCCUCGAUCAGAACAACUAUGUGGCAGCGGAACAACGUCGUAGCGGAACUCCAUAGCACAGGGACACCGAUGUGGACACGAUCUAGACUCGAACAUCACUCCUUUCCAACGAGACUUUCCUGAAAUAUGGCAUGACACGCCAGGUCAGUACAUUGAAUGUACUUGCAAGAUCACAACAAGCAUAAACAUAAUGACAAAUAAUAUCAUGAUAUUUAACCAAUUGUUUAAUAAUGCAACAAUAUAUCCAACAUGCUGUGAUCAUGCUCUUGUGAUAUAAGCCCCUCGGACUUGCUUACCAACGGUGAUCGCUCUCGGAUCACAAACGGACCAACCUCGUGGUCUUAGAUCGGGUUACCUCGUAACCAAACGGUGAUCUUUCCGGCGAUCACAACCAUGACCAACACUUGGUCUCCAACAUCAAGAUGGUCUACCCACCAUCAUCAACAGUGCAAAGUUCAUAACUUAGUGUGCAAAAUUUAUUAAAUGUUGACCCAUGGUGUGACCUACUUUCGAGCGUGUCCGUAACCAUGGACUCGGCUAUCGAUAGAUUUAAUACACUCUGCAGAGGUAGCGCACUGUACCCACACCAGGAACCCAUGGCCUCGCACUCCCAUUCAGGUGGACCAACGGCAUUCCGACGAAACCCCUCCAUUGCCAUGACAUUCUCUCGGCCACUCCGACUCACUCCCCACUGGGCUAGUCCUGGGUUGCCCCGUGUCUACCAAAGACACCAACAACCACCAUCGUGGCAAAACAUAAACGGUCCCAAACGGGGACAAGGUACCAUAAUAUCAACAGCGGGCACACAAGGUUAUGUCUGCUUACCAGGCCAGGGUACCGCAUGCCCAUAACCUUCCCUCGUUGGAGGCACCGACCAGAGGCAUGACAACGGACCGAAUAAAGGCCUUCCCAUAAAGGCAAAUGUGGUUGCACUGGGAAAAACUCGAUUCAGUGGCACCAUGACCCGGUCAAGGAUAUAUUCAAGUUGAGUUAUUAGCAGGUUCAACUUAACGGGAAAGUAACCGGUGUCAUAACAUGUCAUGCAAGUGCAACACAAAUAUAUGCAUCAUAUAACAUCGGAAAUAACUGGGUCAACUAAAUCCACACUAAGCAUAAACAUCACAAUUCAUAACACUUCUCUGGUUAUGAUUAAUCAUCACUUUAAACAGAAUCUUUACUUAGCAAAUUUAUCAUUUUUCUCCUCCAAGAAAAAUAACUCAAAAUAAUUACUCAUAUCCAUAACAAAUAUUACUUCUUCAUAACAAAUAUUUCUUCUAGUUAUUUAACCAACUUAGUUAGCUUCAAACUUUCUGUAAACUAAGCAUAUCAACUUAAACAAGCAACCAAUCAGAAUAUAAAUAAUAUACUAGUGAUUUAAAUGCAUGGAUUAAAUCAUUAAUUCAAGUUGAAAAUCACAAAUAUUGCAAUGGCACCAUGAAAAUGUUGCUGUGGGUUGCCUUAGUGCAGAUGAGGUUCACAAUCCUCCUGGUGAUCCUCAAGACAAGCUUCUCUUUCUGAAAAUAUUUAUAAACACAAAAAGAAAACAUCAAGAACCCUUCUGAAAUUCACCAUAAAAUCUAGAAAGCAGGGAAAAAUCUCAUUUUUGGUGAGCUGCUAGAUUUAUUCACAAAGAACACAAUGCAAAAAGAAUCAAUUCAUUUGGACUUAUGGUUAAAAAGUUUUGGCUGUUUGAAGCUCUCUGGACAUAAAUAAAUUUGAAUUUAAAUAAACAGAACUAAGUGGGGGGGGGGCGGUGACGUCGAAGGCGUAAACCUCGCGGGCGCCACCACUUGUACCGCUUCGCGCGCGUAUAGAGUGGCUGACUAGCGGGCCCCACUAGUCAGGUGAGAGGGAGGGGGAAAGGGAAACAGAGGACGGCGCGGCUUCGCCGGAGCACACGCCGGCGAGGAGAGCUUCUUGGCCAGAACGAGAGGGAGGGAUCGAAAGAGAAGAUGGAGGCGCACCUGCCCAUACCCGUAGGUUAGCUAGGGGUGGUCGAACGGCGUCGGAAUCAGCCUCUAGCGGAGACAGGAAGCAGAGGUCGCCGGAGAUGAAGACGACGACGACCAGAGUUGACACCAGGGGCUCCAACCGGGCGGAACGGCACCACCGAGGCACGACGGAGGCCUUGGAAGGGUGGCCCAGGCCUGGAAGGGGCUGGAGCCGCGGAGACGACCCGAGGGGAUCGCCGGCGAGCUCGAGCUCGGGGACAGCGGCCCGCGGCCUGCCCGGCCGGGCUACGGCUUUCUACAAGAUUGUGGAGUGUGUGGAAGGAGUGGAUGAUGCUCGAGGAGGCUGGGGAGGGCUCUAUUUAUAGCCAAGCGUCGAGAGGGGAUCGGGCUCCGCCGGAGGACACCUGGACACGGCGCCCGGCGACGAACGGCGUCAGUGAGCGAGGGGGAAGGCGACGCAACUCACGCGGGAACUGUGGGCGAGCGGAGACGAGCACAGGGGCGAGAGGGUGACGACGAGCACAGUGUGCAGCGCACUGUGGCGUUGGCCAGACCGCGCCCGUGCUCGCUGCGGCGAGCUCCGGCGUCGGCGAGCGCCAGGAGGGAGUGAAGAGGGUCGGGACGAUGAUUGUGGCGAGGUUUGGCAAGGCUUGGAGGGCGGGGAAGCGAGCACGCGAUCAACAGUAGCGCGGGCGCGACGCAGAGCGCGUCGGUCGUAUGCCAGCACGCCUGGACGAACGCGGUCACCACGUGAACUCUGACCUCAGGCCGACCUAAGCCCAAACCUCAUGUCUGGCAUGUAGUUCGUGGUAGUUUUAGAGGUUACCACACUUGGUUUUGAUCACAGGCGCAAUAGAAUGGAUUUCAACUGCCUGGUAAGUUUCUGGUCAGUAACUUUGAGAGAUUACUGCGGUCAAACUACUGAGAGUUGGGAGCUGGGCUUUGGAGGUUAGCAAUCAUCUACUAAGGUGAUGAUGCACAAGAAAAAUCAGCCACAAUGGAUCAAGUAAAAUGGUAGUUGCUGUAGAAACCACCAUUUCUGUCCAAAACAGAAAAUAUUUUCUGUAGCAAAAAUAUUCCAAAAAGUGAUGAAAUAUUUUUGCUCAGGAAGGUGCCCUAGGGUUCAAAGAAUAUUUGGAAAUUUUCUCAGAUUUUUGUGGGCAAGAAAAAUUGGGGUUGCUUUGGAGCACAUUGAGCUAGCUAGGGUUUUAGAGAGGGAAAUGAAUAUUUUUCAUUUAAGAAAAUAUUCAAACUAUUAUUUUGAGGUGAACCGGAGAGAAAAUGAUAGUUAGAAAGGGAAAUGAGACACUUGGGUGAAAUUCAAGGGGUACCCAAGUGUUUAAGUCCAUCUGAAAAGAUUCAAAACUUCAAAUUUCAAAACCAAACCAACUGAAAAUCAGGCAAAGAGAAGAGGGCAAAAACCAGACUGUCACAAACCUCCCCCGCUUAGGAUGAAUCUCUUCCUCGAGAUUCAGUUGCUUGGGAAAACCAUUCUGGAUAAUGAGCCCUAAGAAAUUCUUCUCGUUCCCAAGUCGAUUCUGCCUCUGUGUGAUGCUCCCACUGAACUUUGUAAAACAUCCUUGCUUUACUACGAGUGACCCUUUCCAUCUGAUCCAAAAUUCUGACCGGUCUCUCUUCAUAUGUUAAAUCCUUUGCCAACUCUAUUUCAGUCAUAGCAGUCUUUUUCUCAGGCGGCGAUAUGCAUCGCCUCAAUUGUGAAACAUGAAACACAUUGUGCACUUCCGACAAUUCGGGGGUUAGUUCCAAUUUAUAUGCAACAGUACCUACUCUGGACAUAACCGGAAAUGGACCAAUAAAUCUGGGUGCCAACUUUCCACGAGUUUGGAAUCUCUUGACUCCUUUCAUAGGAGUGACUCGGAGGUAUACGUGUUCUCCGGGUUCAAAACUGAUCUGUCGGUGCUUUGCAUCAUAAUAAUGUCGCGAUUUGGCCAAUUGCAAUCUGUCUCGGAUUUCCUUGACUUGCUUCUCAGCUUCCAUCAUGAGAUCCAUUCCGAAAAUACGGCUAUCUCCAGUUUGAGACCAAUUCAAAGGAGUGCGGCACUUACGGCCAUACAAAGCCUCAUAUGGUGACAUCUUUAGACUGGUCUGGAAGCUGUUGUUGUAUGAGAACUCGGCAUACGGCAGGUAGUCUUCCCAUUUAGAUCCUUGGGCCAAAGCACAGGCUUGAAGCAUAUCUUCGAGUAUUUGGUUUACCCGCUCAGUCUGUCCAUUAGUAUGACGAUGAUAAGCGGUACUAUAUUUUAGCGUUGUCCCCAAGGCUUGAUGGAGACGUGACCAGAAAGCGGAGGUAAAAAGUGACCCCCGGUCAGAAGUGAUUGUUCGGGGUACUCCAUGCAGAUUGACUAUUCUGGAUACAUACAGUUGUGCAAGUUGAUCCGCUCGAUAUGUGGUUCUGAUCGGGAUAAAGUGAGCUACCUUGGUUAAGGUGUCCACUAUAACCCAGAUUGCAUCAUUGCCUCGCUGAGUCUUAGGUAGCCCUGUGAUAAAAUCCAUGCAGACAUCAUCCCAUUCCCAUUGUGAAACUGGCAGUGGUUGGAGAAGUCCGGCUGGCUUCUGGUGCUCUGCCUUCACCUUGUUGCAUAUGUUGCAUCAGGCCACAAAAUAGGAAAUGUCUUUCUUCAUUCCAUCCCACCAGAAUAUUUGUCGAAGGUCUUCAUACAUUUUUGUACCUCCAGGGUGAAUCGAAUACGAACAUUCAUGUGCUUCCGAUAGGAUUUUCUUCUUUAAAUCCGCCUGACUGGGUACACAAAUCCUUCGACGGAAUCGGAGGGUACCAAAUUGAUCCUUUGAAAAAUCUGAAGUCUGUCCUGCUACCAUACUCUUGGCACGUUUCUGCAGGACGGUGUCAGCUGGCUGGGCCUUGCAGAUCUCUUCCUCAAGUGUAGGUGCAACUUCCAAAAUAUUAGCAAGACCAGUAUCAACUAUGAUCAGGUUGAGCUGAGCAAUCUCCUCUUGAAGUUCAGGAGGCAAGGAUUUCAUUAUGGCAUUCAGGCUGCCAGGCUUUCGACUGAGUGCAUCGGCAACCACGUUGGCCUUACCUUGGUGGUAAUUUAUUCCAAGAUCAUAAUCUUUGACUAACUCGAGCCAUCUUCGUUGACGGAUUAAAUCUGGCUGAGAAAAUAUAUACUUGAGGCUUUUGUGGUCGGUAAAAAUUUGACACCUCUUCCCGAUGAGGUAGUGUCUCCAAAUUUUUAGAGCAUGAACCACCGCGGCCAAUUCCAGAUCAUGAGUAGGGUAAUUUCCCUCGUGGGGUCGUAACUGUCGCGAUGCAUAUGCUACUACCUUGCCGUCUUGCAUAAGUACGCAUCCAAGUCCUUGUCUGGAGGCGUCGCAGUACACAUCAAAGUUGCGGUAGAUAUCUGGAAGAGUCAACACAAGUGCGGUCGUCAGCCGUAUCUUUAGCUCAUUAAAACUUUUCUCACAGUCCUCAGUCCAUUCAAAUUUCUUGUCCUUCUUGAGCAGCUCCGUCAUGGGUUUAGCAAUCUUGGAAAAUCCUUCAAUGAAACGACGGUAGUAUCCGGCUAAUCCAAGAAAACUCCGGAUCUGUGAUACGGUUGUGGGUGGCAACCAAUCUAGCACAUCCUUUACUUUGCUCGGGUCCACUGCUAUACCUUCGGCUGAUAGCACAUGUCCGAGAAACCCAACUUUCUUGAGCCAAAACUCGCAUUUACUGAAUUUGGCGUAUAGCUGAUGGUCGCGGAGUCGUUGUAGCACUGCUCGGAGGUGUUCUUUGUGAUCUUCACUUUUUGAGUAAAUAAGUAUGUCAUCGAUAAAAACUACCACGAAUUUAUCGAGGAAGUCCAUGAAUACUUUGUUCAUCAUAUGCAUGAAGAAGGCAGGGGCAUUGGUGAGACCAAAGGACAUAACUGUAUAUUCAUAAAGACCGUACCGAGUGGUGAAUGCGGUCUUAGGAAUAUCUUCCUUUUUAAUCUUGAGCUGAUGAUAUCCUGUCCUUAAAUCAAUCUUGGAGAAUACUUUGGCGCCACUGAGCUGAUCAAACAAGUCAUCAAUCCUUGGCAGUGGAUAUUUAUUUUUGAUGGUGACAUCAUUCAGCUGACGGUAAUCCACACACAUGCGGAGGCUGCCAUCCUUCUUAUCCACGAAGAUAGCAGGUGAUCCCCAUGGUGAGGAGCUGGGACGGAUAUAUCCUUUCUGGAGCAUUUCAUCAAGCUAUUUCUUUAGCUCCACUAAUUCCGAUGAAGGCAUCCGGUAAUACUUCUUGUAUAACAGUGCGGUUCCGGGCACAAGAUCUAUUGCAAACUCAAGCUCUCGAUCUGGUGGCAUGCCUGGCAGUUCUUCUGGAAAUACAUCAGGAAACUCACUGACCACAGGAAUUAAUUCCAACUCACCCGCCACAGCGGUGAAGACCAUUUCUUUCUUGGGUAUGCUUCUGCGAGCAUAGAAUUUGGUAGCCUGCCCCUUCUGACUGGUCAAAGUGACUUCUCGGGUCGCGCAAUUUAUGCAUACUUGAUAUUGGGUCAACCAAUUCAUACCCAAGAUAACAUCCAACUUUACAGACUCAAUGAUUAUCAAGGAAGUUGGAAAACAGACUCCGUUGAUAUUGAUUUCCAUAUCACGGCAGACCAGAUUGCUCCUGAUUAAGGAUCCCGGGGUUUGUACCAGCAUAUUCUAGCCCAAAAGCGAACAAGGAAAUUUGUUUUGGGCAACAAAACUCCGUGAAAUAAAAGAGUGGGAAGCCCCAGAGUCAAAUAAAAUUACGGCAAGUGUGUUAUUAACAGAAAACAUACCAAUGACGACUUCGGGAUUCUCUUGGGCUUCAUCUGCGGAGAGAUGAUGAACGUGCCCAGUGAUGUUUUGCUGGGUAGGGCAUGACUCCAUAAAGUUGACUUGUGGCCUGAAUAGGGCAUUUGCCUUGCCGUUCUUGGGACACUAUCUGGCAUAAUGUCUGGUUUGCCCACAACUGAAGCAAGAAUUGUUGCGCUGGCACUCCUCUCGCACCGAGUUGGUCACGACAUUCUUGACUUGUGUAGUGGUCUUGUUAACAUUCUGUUGCCAAUUGGGCUUGUAUUCCACCUGAGUAUGCUGCCAGGUACGAGCCUUUUGAAUUGGCUGCCCUUCCUUCCUUGGCUCAAACUUGCGCUUGUGAUCAUUAUUGGCAGGCCUAUUGUCUGAUACGAGCUUGUGCUCCCUUUCAGCAAUGAAAGCCUUGUUUACCAGAGUUUGGAAAUCUUGGAAAUCAAACAUACUGAGGGUACAUCGGAGUUGCGGGUUUAAUCCCCCAAGAAAUCGAUCAAUCUUGCUCUCUUCGGUGGCCACGUCAUAAAGAGAGUAACGGGCCAAAUGAUUGAACUUUUGCAAAUAUUCAUCCACAGACUGAUUUCCUUGAAGGAGCGCGAGAAAUUCACGCUGCUUAACCUUCAUAAUUCCAGUAGGAAUAUGAUAUUUCCGGAACUGAUCCUUGAAUUUUGCCCAGGUGAUUUCUUCAUCAGCAUGCCACAUGGUUUUUGUGUUUUCCCACCAUAUGGCAGCAGCGCCUUCAAGAUAAUGGGUUGCAAAUGGAACUUUAUCAUCUUCUGCAGUACGAGCAAUCUCUAGCUUCCUCUCAAUGGUUCGCAACCAAUCGUCUGCAUCCAAGGGAUCAAUAACCUGACUGAAACUGGGAGGCUUGGUUCUCUGAAAAUCUGACAGCUUGGAGUGAUGCCCGUUCUGAUUUCCAUUCUGUCCAACCACAACUUGCACACUUCUUAAUAUUUCAAUCACAUCAUUAUUCCUUCUUUCCUCAAACAUACGCAGAAUUUGCUCUGUGGAGGGUGGAUUUGGCGGUGGAGGCGGUGGUGGAACGUACGGCUCGGGGGAGUGUCCUGCCUGUCGUGCGGAACGACGAACAGGAAUAUCCACAUGAGCGUCGCUACUGCUGCCUCCCCGCGUCAUCCUAUUGUGGAUUUUUCCCAAGACAACGCAACCGAGAUGAGAAACAUCCAAAAAUAAAUUGGGGAAAAGCCAGCAACAAAUCCUGAGAGGAAACGAAAUAACGAAGAAAAUACGAUGAAUAAAAUAGAGUUCCAACAUAAUUAUACAUAGACUCAUACAUGAAAGAUAAACAUCAUGCCAGGUUCAACUACUCUCAUACAGGAAACAAAACAUCAUGACUCGUACGACUACACCCGUACAUCAUCCUGACAACUGUAGAUGCUCAGAAGCUCUACUACUCUGCUGGUGCUCUGGGGUCCUCUCCUGAAGCGGACUCGGAUCCUGAACUGACAUGGUUAACUGAAACCUCCGGGUUAAAGGUAACACGACGACGCUGCCUUGAGGGCUCUCCCUCUGAGGCAGGUGCAGGGUGAAGCAUCGGGGCUACAGGAGUAGUGAGAAGUGAAACCCACUCAGCAGGAGCACUGAGAGGAUUCACGGUCGAGGUGCCCGAGCUACUCGGAGGAGUAACCGGUGAAAGGGGUGAACUAGAACUGGGUGGAAUAUAAGGAGUAAAUCCCAUAGAAGAUGGAGCAGUGACAGAUCUAGUAGAAGAUAAAGCAGUACGGGCACGAGUCAGCUCUCGAGCCAGCUCGUGGAUCAUAAGAUAGCUAGCAGUGAUAUAACGGGAAAGGUGGCUAGCAACACUAUCAGACUCCGGAUCAAUGAUAGGGAAACGGACACGACCAUUGUCGUGUAGAGAAGGAUAGCAGUAGAAACCUGGGUGGUUCUGCAUCCGGACCUCGUUAUAACGAAGCUCGACAAGGACCUCGAAUGCAGCAAACUGGACAGCCUGAGAAGCGGUAGAAGCAAAAGCGCUCCGGGAGGUACGAGUGUAAGUGCUGGAAUCGGAACUGGUGCGCAGAGUAAGCACUGCAUGAUACUCAUACACUGAGUCUGCUAGACGCUCCCGGUACACACGAUAGAAUGGGUCGUCACCGAGGGGGUACAGCCGACGCCACACAUUACGAAGGAGAUGCGGCGACGUGAAUGGCAUCAGCUGCAACUGGCACGGAUACGGCACUGGAGCCAUCUACACUCACAACCAUUAGCAGGUUAGCAUAAAAAUAAAACGAGUGCAUACAAUGCAACAACCAGCUACAAAUGCUACCGGCACUCAACUUAAACUCGUAUCUAACGUCCAGUUAACACGUCAUAGUCUAGCGUGGCCUACAGUCAGCGCGGCUCUGAUACCAAGCGUUGUGGCACCCCGACUCAGAGCAACCGGUUUACCAUGCAUUGCGAGCCCAAAGAUCAUGUCUUCUGGCAACACACAACAUCUUGGUACAGAAAACAACCGCUUUAUUGAUGCUAGCGGAUCAUAGUUCAUAUUACAACAGGUGGCGAGGCCAAGCGGCACACACGGUGCGGCUGAACAAUAUGUACAUUAUUUAGUGAACAUAAAGGGGCCUCGAUCAGAACAACUACGUGGCAGCGGAACAACGUCGUAGCGGAACUCCAUAGCACAGGGACACCGAUGUGGACACGAUCUAGACUCGGACAGCACUCCUUUCCAAUGAGACUUUCCUGAAAUCUGGCAUGACACGCCAGGUUAGUACAUUGAAUGUACUUGCAAGCUCACAACAAGCAUAAACAUAAUGACAAAAAAAAUCAUGAUAUUUAACCAAUUGUUUAAUAAUGCAACAAUAUAUCCAACAUGCUGAGAUCAUGCUCUUGUGAUAUAAGCCCCUCGGACUUGCUUACCAAUGGUGAUCGCUCUCGGAUCACAAACGGACCAACCUCGUGGUCUUAGAUCGGGUUACCUCGUAACCAAACGGUGAUCUUUCCGGCGAUCACAACCAUGACCAACACUUGGUCUCCAACAUCAAUAUGGUCUACCCACCAUCAUCAACAGUGCAAAGUUCAUAACUUAGUGUGCAAAAUUUAUUAAACGUUGACCCAUGGUGUGACCUACUUUCGAGCGUGUCCGUAAUCGUGGACUCGGCUAUCGAUAGAUUUAAUACACUCUGCAGAGGUAGCGCACUGUACCCACACCACGGAACCCAUGGCCUCGCACUCCCAUUUGGGUGGACCAAUGGCAUUCCGACGAAACCCCUCCAUUACCAUGACACUCUCUCGGCCACUCCGACUCACUCCCCACUGGGCUAGUCCUGGGUUGCCCCGUGUCUACCAAAGACACCAACGGCCACCGUCGUGGCAAAACAUAAACGACCCCAAACGGGGACAAGGUACCAUAAUAUCAACAACGAGCACACAAGGUUAUGUCUCCUUACCGGGCCAGGGUACCGCACACCCAUAACCUUCCCUCGUUGGAGGCACCGACCAGAGGCAUGACAAUUGCUACCUCUUGAGCACUGCGUUGGUUUUCCCUUGAAGAGGAAAGGGUGAUGCAGUAAAGUAGCGCAAGUAUUUCCCUCAGUUUUUGAGAACCAAGGUAUCAAUCCAGUAGGAGGCCACGCACGAGUCCCUCGCACCUACACGAACAAAUAAAUCCUCGCAACCAACGCAAUAAAGGGGUUGUCAAUCCCUUCACGGUCACUUACGAGAAUGAGGUCUGAUAUAUAUGAUAGGAUAAUAUUUUUGGUAUUUUUAUGAUAAAGAUGCAAAGUAAAAUAAAAGGCAAUAAAAAUAGCUAAGUGUUGGAAGAUUAAUAUGAUAGAAAAUAGACCCGGGGGCCAUAGGUUUCGCUAGAGGCUUCUCUCGAGAGCAUAAGUAUUACGGUGGGUGAACAAAUUACUGUUGAGCAAUUGACAGAAUUGAGCAUAGUUAUGAGAAUAUCUAGGUAUGAUCAUGUAUAUAGGCAUCACGUCCGAGACAAGUAGACCGACUCCUGCCUGCAUCUACUACUAUUACUCCACACAUCGACCGCUAUCCAGCAUGCAUCUAGAGUAUUAAGUUCAUAAGAACAGAGUAACGCUUUAAGCAAGAUGACAUGAUGUAGAGGGAUAAACUCAUGCAAUAUGAUAUAAACCCCAUCUUGUUAUCCUCGAUGGCAACAAUACAAUACAUGCCUUGUUGCCCCUACUAUCACUGGGAAAGGACACCGCAAGAUUGAACCCAAAGCUAAGCACUUCUCCCAUUGCAAGAAAGAUCAAUCUAGUAGGCCAAACCAAACUGAUAAUUCAAAGAGACUUGCAAAGAUAACCAAUCAUACAUAAAAGAAUUCGUAGAAGAUUCAAAUAUUGUUCAUAGAUAAACUUGAUCAUAAACCCACAAUUCAUCGGUCUCAACAAACACACCGCAAAAGAAGAUUACAUCGAAUAGAUCUCCACAAGAGAGGGGGAGAACAUUGCAUUGAUAUCCAAAAAGAGAGAAGAAGCCAUCUAGCCAAUAACUAUGGACCCGAAGGUCUGAGGUGAACUACUCACACAUCAUCGGAGAGGCUAUGGUGUUGAUGUAGAAGCCCUCCGUGAUCUAUGCCCCCUCCGGCGGAGCUCCGGAAAAGGCCCCAAGAUGGGAUCUCACGGGUACAGAAGGCUGCGGCGGUGGAAUUAGGUUUUUGGCUCCGUCUCUGGUAGUUUGGGGGUACGUAGGUAUAUAUAGGAGGAAGAAGUACGUCGGUGGAGCAACAUGGGGCCCACGAGGGUGGAGGGCGCGCCCAGGGGGGUAGGCGCGCCCCCCUACCUCAUUCCCUCCUGGUUGAUGUCUUGACGUAGGGUCCAAGUCCUCUGGAUCACGUUCAUUCCGAAAAUCACGUUCCCGAAAGUUUCAUUCCGUUUGGACUCCGUUUGAUAUUCUUUUUCUGCGAAACUCUGAAAUAGGCAAAAAAACAACAAUUCUGGGCUGGGCCUCCGGUUAAUAGGUUAGUCCCAAAAAUAAUAUAAAAGUGUAUAAUAAAGCCCAAUAAUGUCCAAAACAGAAUAUAAUAUAGCAUGGAACAAUAAAAAAUUAUAGAUACGUUGGAGACGUAUCAAGCAUCCCCAAGCUUAAUUCCUGCUCGUCCUCGAGUAGGUAAAUGAUAAAAACAGAAUUUUUGAUGUGGAAUGCUACUUGGCACAAUUUCAAUGUAAUUCUCCUAAUUGUGGUAUGAAUAUUCAGAUCCGAAAGAUUCAAGAUAAAGGUUUAAUAUUGACAUAAAAGUAAUAAUACUUCAAGCAUACUAACUAAGCAAUUAUGUCCUCUCAAAAUAACAUGGCCAAAGAAAGUUCAUCCCUACAAAAUCAUAUAGUUUAGUCAUGCUCCAUUUCCGUCACACAAGAAUGCUCUCAUCAUGCACAACCCCGAUGCCAAGCCAAGCAAUUGUUUCAUACUUUAGUAAUCUCAAACUUUUUUCAACCUUCACGCAAUACAUGAGCGUGAGCCAUGGAUAUAGCACUAUGGGUGGAAUAGAAUAUAAUGAUGGGGGUUAUGUGGAGAAGACAAAAAAGGAGCAAGUCUCACAUCAACGAGGCUAAUCAAUGAGCUAUGGAGAUGCCCAUCGAUUGAUGUUAAUGUAAGGAGUAGGGAUUGCCAUGCAACGGAUGCACUAGAGCUAUAAAUGCAUGAAAGCUCAACAAAAGAAACUAACUGGGUGUGCAUCCAACUUGCUUGCUCACGAAGACCUAGGGCAUUUGAGGAAGCCCAUUGUUGGAAUAUACAAGUCAAGUUCUAUAAUGAAAAAUUCCCACUAGUAUAUGAAAGUGACAAAAUAAGAGACUUUCUAUCAUGAAGAUCAUGGUGCUACUUUGAAGCACAAGUGUGGAAAAAAGGAUAGUAACAUUGUCCCUUUUUAUUUUCUUUUUUUCGGGCCUUCCCUUUUUUGGCCUUUUUUUUGGGACAAUGCUCUAUGAAUGAUGAUCAUCACACUUCUAUUUAUUUACAACUCAAUGAUUACAACUCGAUACUAGAACAAAAUAUGACUAUAUGAAUGCCUCUGGCGGUAUACCGGGAUAACAAUGAAUCAAGAGUGACAUGUAUGAAAAAUUAUGAACGGUGGCUUUGCCACAAAUACGAUGUCAACUACAUGAUCAUGCAAAGCAAUAUGACAAUGAUGAGCGUGUCAUAAUAAACGGAACGGUGGAAAGUUGCAUGGCAAUAUAUCUCGGAAUGGCUAUGGAAAUGCCAUAAUAGGUAGGUAUGGUGUCUGUUUUGAGGAAGAUAUAAGGAGGUUUAUGUGUGAAAGAGCGUAUCAUAUCACGGGGUUUGGAUGCACCGGCGAAGUUUGCACCAACUCUCAAUGUGAGAAAGGGCAAUGCACGGUACCAAAGAGGCUAGCAAUGAUGGAAGGGUAAGAGUGCGUAUAAUCCAUGGACUCAACAUUAGUCAUAAAGAACUCACAUACUUAUUGCAAAAAUCUACAAGUCAUCAAAAACCAAGCACUACGCGCAUGCUCCUAGGGGGAUAGAUUGGUAGGAAAAGACCAUCGCUCGUCCCCGACCGCCACUCAUAAGGAGGACAAUCAAAGAACACCUCAUGUUUCAAAUUUGUUACAUAACGUUUACCAUACGUGCAUGCUACGGGACUUGCAAACUUCAACACAAGUAUUUCUCAAAUUCACAACUACUCAACUAGCACAACUUUAAUAUCACUACCUCCAUAUCUCAAAACAAUCAUCAAGCAUCAAACUUCUCUUAGUAUUCAGCACACUCAUAAGGAAGUUUUUUACUAGUCUUGAAUACCUAGCAUAUUAGGAUUAUUUAAGAAAAUUUCCAUGCUGUUUAAGACUCUCAAAAUAAUAUAAGUGAAGUAUGAGAGAAUAAUAGUUUCUAUAAAACAAAACCACCACCAUGCUCUAAAAGAUUUAAGUGAAGCAUUAGAGCAAAAACUAUAUAGCUCAAAAGAUAUAAGUGAAGCACAUAGAGUAUUCUAAUAAUUUCCGAAUCAUGUGUGUCUCUCUCAAAAGGUGUGUCCAGCAAAGAUGAUUGUGGUAAAAUAAAAAGCAAAGACUCAAAUAAUACAAGACGCUCCAAGCAAAACACAUAUCAUGUGGUGAACAAAAAUAUAGCUCCAAGUAAAGUUACCGAUGGAAGUAGACGAAAGAGGGGAUGCCUUCCGGGGCAUCCCCAAGCUUUGGCUUUUUGGUGUCCUUAGAUUAUCUUGGGGUGCCUUGGGCAUCCCCAAUCUUAGUCUCUUGCCACUCCUUGUUCCAUAAUCCAUCAAAUCUUUUACCCAAAACUUGAAAAUUUCACAACACAAAACUUAACAGAAAAUCUCGUGAGCUCCGUUAGCGAAAGAAAACAAAACACCACUUCAAGGUACUGCAAUGAACUCAUUCUUUAUUUAUAUUGGUGUUAAACCUACUGUAUUACAACUUCUCUAUGGUUUAUAAACUAUUUUAUUAGCCAUAGAUUCAUCAAAAUAAGCAAACAACACACGAAAGACAGAAUCUGUCAAAAACAGAACAGUCUGUAGUAAUCUGUAACUAACGCAAACUUAUGAAACUCCAAAAAUUCAGCCAAAAUAGGAAGACCUAGACAAUUUGUUUAUUGAUCAGAAGCAAUUGGAAUUAAUAUUUUAUCACGUUCUGGUGUUUUUUAACAAUUAUUUUCGUGAACAGAAAGUUUCUGCAAUUUUCAGCAAGAUCAAAUAACUAUCAUCCAAGAAGAUCCUAUAGGUUUAACUUGGCACAAACACUAAUUAAAACAUAAAAACACAUCUAACCAGAGGCUAGAUCAAAUAUUUAUUCCUAAACAGAAGCAAAAAGCAAAAAACUAAAAAUAAAAUUGGGUUGCCUCCCAACAAGCACUAUCGUUUAACGCCCCUAGCUAGGCAUAAAAGCAAGGAUAGAUCUAGGUAUUACCAUCUUUGGUAGGUAAUUAUUUAAUGAGGCAUCUAUCACCCUUAGGAGUUUCUUUCUUUUUAUUGAUCAUCAAACUUAUAGGCACAAAAACAAAAAAUUCAUUUGUAGCAAAUGGUCCUUAAUGAUAGCAAAAAGAUUGGGAUGAAUACUUAUAGAUUUGAGAUCCGCAGUUUCCUUACUAGAGGAUUCACCCUUAUUUUUAGGAACAUACAUAAGCUUGGCAAUUUUAGUUGGAGGACUUGGAGUAUUCUUUACGGAAGAAAAAGCGGUUCCCAAGUUGGUAAUGAUACCCUCAAGUUUAUCGAUUCUAGUGGAAUCUUGAUCUAUUCUUUCAUUAACUAUGGGUUCCUUAUCAUUAAUAUUUUUCAAAGUGACUCCUACUUUAGAUCCAUAUUGGGUAAUUUGGUUGUGGAUCUUUUUAUCCAAAUUUUCGAUUAACUCUACGGUAGCAACUUUAUUUUUAAUAAUUUCAAGUCUUUGCAUUAUAUGCUCCAAAGUUAACAUAGUUCCAUUAACCAAAAGAGGUGGUGAGCCAAACAAAUCUAUCAUAGCAUUAUAAGAAUCAAAAGUAUGGCUACCCAAGAAAUUCCCUCCGGUAAUGGUAUCAAGGAUAUAUCUGUACCAAGGAGUAUCGCCUACAUAAAAGUUGCAGAGAAGAACGGAAGUAGAUUGUUUCCUGGUAGAUCUAUUUUGAGCAUUGCAAAUUCUAUACCAAGCGUCUUUCAGAUUUUCUCCCUCCCUUUGCUUAAAAUUUAGAACUUCAUUCUCGGGAGACAACGGAGAAGAUAGAGGACUAGCCAUAAUGACCAAGCAAGUGAAAAAAGAGGCAAAUGAAAAAGAGAAAGCGAAUAAAACGGCAAGGGUGAAGUGGGGGAGAGGAAAGCGAGAGGCAAAUGGCAAAUAAUGUAAUGCGGGAGAUAAGGGUUUGUGAUGGGUACUUGGUAUGUUGAUUUUUGCGAAGACUCCCCGGCAACGGCGCCAGAAAUCCUUCUUGCUACCUCUUGAGCACUGCGUUGGUUUUCCCUUGAAGAGGAAAGGGUGAUGCAGUAAAGUAGCGUAAGUAUUUCCCUCAGUUUCUGAGAACCAAGAUAUCAAUCCAGUAGGAGGCCACGCACGAGUCCCUCGCACCUACACAAACAAAUAAAUCCUCGCAACCAACGCAAUAAAGGGGUUGUCAAUCCCUUCACGGUCACUUACAAGAGUGAGAUCUGAUAGAUAUGAUAGGAUAAUAUUUUUGGUAUUUUUAUGAUAAAGAUGCAAAGUAAAAUAAAAGCAAUAAAAAUAGCUAAGUGUUGGAAGAUUAAUAUGAUAGAAAAUAGACCCGGGGGCCAUAGGUUUCACUAGAGGCUUCUCUCGAGAGCAUAAGUAUUACGGUGAGUGAACAAAUUACUGUUGAGCAAUUGACAGGAUUGAGCAUAGUUAUGAGAAUAUCUAGGUAUGAUCAUGUAUAUAGGCAUCACGUCCGACACAAGUAGACCGACUCCUGCCUGCAUCUACUACUAUUACUCCACACAUCGACCGCUAUCCAGCAUGCAUCUAGAGUAUUAAGUUCAUAAGAACAGAGUAACGCUUUAAGCAAGAUGACAUGAUGUAGAGGGAUAACUCAUGCAAUAUGAUAUAAACCCCAUCUUGUUAUCCUCAAUGGCAACAAUACAAUACGUGCCUUGCUGCCCCUACUGUCACUGGGAAAGGACACCGCAAGAUUGAACCCAAAGCUAAGCACUUCUCCCAUUGCAAGAAAGAUCAAUCUAGUAGGCCAAACCAAACUGAUAAUUCGAAGAGACUUGCAAAGAUAACCAAUCAUACAUAAAAGAAUUCAGAGAAGAUUCAAAUAUUGUUCAUAGCUAAACUUGAUCAUAAACCCACAAUUCAUCGGUCUCAACAAACACACCGCAAAAGAAGAUUACAUCGAAUAGAUCUCCACAAGAGAGGGGGAGAACAUUGCAUUGAGAUCCAAAAAGAGAGAAGAAGCCAUCUAGCUAAUAACUAUGGACCCGAAGGUCUGAGGUAAACUACUCACACAUCAUCGGAGAGGCUAUGGUGUUGAUGUAGAAGCCCUUCGUGAUCGAUGCCCCCUCCGGCGGAGCUUCGAAAAAGGCCCCAAGAUGGGAUCUCACGGGUAUAGAAGGUUGCGGUGGUGGAAUUAGGUUUUUGGCUCCGUCUCUGGUAGUUUGGGGGUACGUAUAGGAGGAAGAAGUACGUUGGUGGAGCAACGUGGGGCCCACGAGGGUGGAGGGCGCGCCCAGGGGGUAGGCGCGCCCCUACCUCAUGCCCUCCUAGUUGAUGUCUUGACGUAGGGUCCAAGUCCUCUGGAUCACGUUUGUUCCGAAAAUCACGUUCCCGAAAGUUUCAUUCUGUUUGGACUCCGUUUGAUAUUCUUUUUCUGCGAAACUCUGAAAUAGGCAAAAAACAGCAAUUCUGGGCUGGGCCUCCGGUUAAUACGUUAGUCCCAAAAAUAAUAUAAAAGUGUAUAAUAAAGACCAAUAAUGUCCAAAACAGAAUAUAAUAUAGCAUGGAACAAUGAAAAAUUAUAGAUACGUUGGAGACGUAUCAAUAACGGACCGAAUAAAGGCCUUCCCAUAAAGGCAAAUGUGGUUGCACUAGAAAAAACUCGAUUCAGUGGCACCAUGACCCGGUCAAGGAUAUAUUCAAGUUGAGUUAUUAGCAGGUUCAACUUAACGGGAAAGUAACCGGUGUCAUAACAUGCCAUGCAAGUGCAACACAAAUAUAUGCAUCAUAUAACAUCGGAAAUAACUGGGUCAACUAAAUCCACACUAAGCAUAAACAUCACAAUUCAUAACACUUCUCUGGUUAUGAUUAAUCAUCACUUUAAACAAAAUCUUUACUUAGCAAAUUUAUCAUUUUUGUCCUCCAAGAAAAAUAACUCAAAAUAAUUACUCAUAUCCAUAACAAAUAUUACUUCUUCAUAACAAAUAUUUCUUCUAGUUAUUUAACCAACUUAGUUAGCUUCAAACUUUCUGUAAACUAAGCAUAUCAACUUAAACAAGCAACCAAUCAGAAUAUAAAUAAUAUACUAGUGAUUUAAAUGCAUGGAUUAAAUCAUUAAUUCAAGUUGAAAAUCACAAAUAUUGCAAUGGCACCAUGAAAAUGUUGGUGUGGCUUGCCUUAGUGCAGAUGAGGUUCACAAUCCUCCUGGUGAUCCUCAAGACAAGCUUCUCUUUUUUAAAAUAUUUAUAAACACAAAAAGAAAACAUCAAGAACCCUUCUGAAAUUCACAAGAAAAUCUAGACAGCAGGGAAAAAUCUCAUUUUUGGUGAGCUGCUAGAUUUAUUCACAAAGAACACAAUGCAAAAAGAAUCAAUUCAUUUGGACUUAUGGUUAAAAAGGUUUGGCUGUUUGAAGCUCUCUGGACAGAAUUAUAUUUGAAUUUAAAUAAACAGAACUGAGGGGGGGGGGGUGACGUCGAAGGCGUAAACCUCGCGGGCGCCACCACUCGUACCGCUUCACGCGCGUAUAGAGUGGCUGUCUAGCGGGCCCUGCUAGUCAGGUGAGAGGAAGGGGGAAAGGGAAACAGAGGACGGCGCGGCUUCGCCGGAGCACACGCCGGCGAGGAGAGCUUCUUGGCCAGAACGAUAGGGAGGGAUCGAAAGAGAAGAUGGAGGCGCACCUGCCCGUACCCGUAGGUUAGCUAGGGGUGGUCGGACGGUGUUGGAAUCAGCCUCUCUAGCGGAGACAGGAAGCAGAGGUCAGCGAAGAUGAAGACGACGAUGACCAGAGGCGACACCAGUGGCUCCAACCGGGCGGAACGGCACCACCGAGGCACGGCGGAGGCCCUGGAAGGGUGGUCCGGGCCUGGGAGGGGCUGGAGCCGCGGAGAAGACCCGAGGGGAUCGCCGGCGAGCUCGAGUUCGGGGACGGCGGCCCGCGGCCUGCCCGGUCGGGCUACGGCUUUCUACGAGAUUGUGGAGUGUGUGGGAGGAGUGGAUGAUGCUCGAGGAGGCUGGGGAGGGCUCUAUUUAUAGCCGAGCGUCGAGAGGGGAUCGGGCUUUGGAGCACAUUGAGCUAGCUAGGUUUUUAGAGAGGGAAAUGAAUAUUUUUCAUUUAAGAAAAAUAUUCAAACUAUUAUUUUGAGGUGAACCGGAGAGAAAAUGAUAGUUAGAAAGGGAAAUCAGACACUUGGGUGAAAUUCAAGGGGUACCCAAGUGUUUAAGUCCAUCUGAAAAGAUUCAAAAUUUCAAAUUUCAAAACCAAACCAACUGAAAAUCAGGCAAAGAGAAGAGGGCAAAAACCAGAUUGUCACAGUGGUCGGGCAUUGAGUCUGACUCAACUUCACACCUUGUGACACAGGCAAGAACCCUUUCUUUGACUGAUCCAUUUUGAACUUCUUCAAAACUUUAUCAAGGUAUGUGCUUUGUGAAAGUCCAGUUAAGCGUCUUGAUCUAUCUCUAUAGAUCUUGAUGCCCAAUAUAUAAGCAGCUUCAGCGAGGUCUUUCAUUGAAAAAUUCUUAUUCAAGUAUCCUUUUAUGCUAUUCAGAAAUUCAAUGUCAUUUCCGAUUAACAAUAUGUCAUCCACAUAUAAUAUAAAAAAUGCUACAAAGCUCCCACUCACUUUCUUGUAAAUACAAGCUUCUCCAAAAGUCUGUAUAAAACCAUAUGCUUUGAUCACACUAUCAAAGGGUAUAUUCCAACUCGGAGAUGCUUGCACCAGUCCAUAAAUGGAUCGCUGGAGCUUGCACACUUUGUUAGAACCUUUAGGAUCGACAAAACCUUCUGGUUGCAUCAUAUACAACUCUUGUUUGAGAUAUCCAUUAAGGAAUGCAGUUUUGACAUCCAUUUGCCAAAUUUCAUAAUCAUAAAAUGCGGCAAUUGCUAACAUGAUUCGGACAGACUUAAGCAUCACUACGGGUGAGAAAGUCUCAUCGUAGUCAACUCGUUGAACUUGUCGAAAACCUUUCGCGACAAGUCGAGCUUUGUAGACAGUAACAUUACCGUCAGCGCCAGUCUUCUUCUUGAAGAUCCAUUUAUUCUCUAUGGCUUACCGAUCAUCGGGCAAGUCAACCAAAGUCCACACUUUGUUCUCAUACAUGGAUCCCAUCUCAUAUUUCAUGGCCUCAAGCCAUUUCACAGAAUCUGGGCUCAUCAUCGCUUCCUUAUAGUUCGUAGGUUCGUCAUGGUCAAGUAACAUGACGGCCAGAACAGGAUUACCGUACCACUCUGGUGCGGAUCUUACUUUGGUUGACCCACGAGGUUCAGUAGUAACUUGAUCGGAAGUUUCAUGAUCAUCAUCAUUAACUUCCUCACUAAUUGGUGUAGGAAUCACUGGAACUAAUUUAUGUGAUGUGCUACUUUCCAACUCGGGAGAAGGUACAAUUAACUCAUCAAGUUCUACUUUCUUCCCACUCACUUCUUUCGAGAGAAACUCCUUCUCUAGAAAGGAUCAAUUCUUAGCAACGAAUGUCUUGCCUUCGGAUCUGUGAUAGAAGAUGUACCCAACAGUCUCCUUUGGGUAUCCUAUGAAGACACAUUUCUAUGAUUUGGGUUUGAGCUUAUCAGGUUGAAGCUUUUUCACAUAAGCAUCACAGCCCCAAACUUUAAGAAACGACAACUUGGGUUUCUUGCCAAACCACAGUUCAUAUGGUGUUGUCUCAACGGAUUUAGAUGGUGCCCUAUUUAACGUGAAUGCAGCCGUCUCUAAAGCAUAACCCCAAAACGAUAGCGGUAAAUCAGUAAGAGACAUCAUAGAUCGCACCAUAUCUAAUAAAGUGCGGUUACGAUGUUCGGACACACCAUUACACUGUGGUGUUCCAAGUGGCGUGAGUUGCGAAACUAUUCCGCAUUGUUUAAAAUGAAGACCAAACUCAUAACUCAAAUAUUCACCUCCACGAUCAGAUCGUAGAAACUUUAUUUUCUUGUUACGAUGAUUUUCCACUUCACUAUGAAAUUCUUUGAACUUUUCAAAUGUUUCAGACUUAUGUUUCAUCAAGUAGAUAUACCCAUAUCUGCUCAAAUCAUCUAUGAAGGUCAGAAAAUAACGAUACCCGCCGCGAGCCUCAACACUCAUCGGACCGCAUACAUCAGUAUGUAUUAUUUCCAACAAGUCUGUUGCUCGCUCCAUUGUUCCGGAGAACGGAGUCUUAGUCAUCUUGCCCAUGAGGCAUGGUUCGCAAGCAUCAAGUGAUUCAUAAUUAAGUGAUUCCAAAAGUCCAUUAGCAUGGAGUUUCUUCAUGCGCUGUACACCAAUAUGACCUAAACGACAGUGGCACAAAUAAGUUGCACUAUCAUUAUUAACCUUGCAUAUUUUGGCUUCAAUAUUAUGAAUACGUGUAUCACUACAAUCAAGAUUCAACAAAAAUAGACCACUCAUCAAGGGUGCAUGACCAUAAAAGAUAUUACUCAUAUAAAUAGAACAACCAUUAUUCUAUGAUUUAAAUGAAUAACCGUCUCGCAUCAAACAAGAUCCAGAUAUAAUGUUCAUGCUUAACGCUGGCACCAAAUAACAAUUAUUCAGGUCUAAAACUAAUCCCGAAGGUAGAUGUAGAGGUAGAUUGCCAACGGCGAACGCAUCGACUUUGGAACCAUUUCCCACGCGCAUCGUCACCUCGUCCUUAGCCAAUCUUCGCUUAAUCCGUAGCCCAUGUUUCGAGUUGCAAAUAUGAGCAACAGAAACAGUAUCAAAUACCCAGGCGCUACUACGAGCAUUAGUAAGGUACACAUCAAUAACAUGUAUAUCAAAUAUACCUUUCACUUUGCCAUCCUUAUUAUCCGCCAAAUACUUGAGGCAGUUCCGCUUCCAGUGACCAGUCCCUUUGCAGUAGAAGCACUCAGUCUCAGGCUUAGGUCCAGACUUGGGUUUCUUCACUUGAGUAGCAACUUGCUUGUCGUUCUUCUUGAAUUUCCCCUUCUUCCCUUUGCCCCUAUUCUUGAAACUAGUGGUCUUGUUAACCAUCAACACUUGAUGCUCCUUCUUGAUUUCUACCUCCGCAGGCUUUAGCAUCACGAAGAGCUCGGGAAUUGUCUUAUCCAUCCCUUGUAUAUUAUAGUUCAUCACGAAACUUUUGUAGCUUGAGGGCAAUGAUUGAAGAACUCUGUCAAUGACACUAUCAUCAGGAAGAUUAACUCCCAAUUGAGUCAAGUGGUUGUGGUACCCAGACAUUCUGAUAUAUGUUCACUGACAGAACUAUUCUCCUCCAUCUUGUAGCUGUAGAACUUAUUGGAGACUUCAUAUCUCUCAAUUCAGGCAUUCGCUUGAAAUAUUAACUUCAACUCCUGGAACAUCUCAUAUGCUCCAUGACGUUCAAAACGCCGUUGAAGUCAGACAUUCUAAGCCGCAAAGCAUGGCACACUGAACUAAGCCGUAAAGCAUGGCACACAUAACGUCCGGAGUUGCUCCUGCAGCAGGUCUUGCACCUAGCGGUGCUUCUAGGACGUAAUUCUUCUGUGCAGCAAUGAGGAUAGUCCUCAAGUUACGGACCCAGUCCGUGUAAUUGCUACCAUCAUCUUUCAACUUAGCUUUCUCUAGGAAUGCAUUAAAAUUCAAAGGAACGGUAGCACGGGCCAUUGAUCUACAACAACAUGGACAUGCAAAAUACUAUCAAGUACUAUUUUGAUGAUAAAUUAAAGUUUAAUUAAUCAUAUUACUUAAGAACUCCCACUUAGAUAGACAUCUCUCUAGUCAUCUAAAUGAUCACGUGAUCCAUAUCAACUAAACCAUGUCCGAUCAUCACGUGAGAUGGAGUAGCUUUCAAUGGUAAACAUCACUAUGUUGAUUCAUAUCUACUAUAUGAUUCACGCUCGAUCUUUCAGUCUCAGUGUUCCGAGGCCAUAUCUGCAUAUGCUAGGCUCGUCAAGUUUAACCCGAGUAUUUUGCGUGUGCAAAACUGGCUUGCACCCGUUGUAUGUGAACGUGGAGAUUAUCACACCCGAGCAUCACGUGGUGUCUCGGCACGACGAACUGUAGCAACGGUGCAUACUCAGGGAGAACACUUGUACCUUGAAAUUUAGUGAGAGAUCAUCUUAUAAUGCUACCGCCGUACUAAGCAAAAUAAGAUGCAUAAAAGAUAAACAUCACAUGCAAUCAAAAUAAUUGAUAUGAUAUGGCCAUCAUCAUCUUGUGCCUUUGAUCUCCAUCUCCAAAGCACCGUCAUGAUCACCAUCGUCACCGGCUUGACAUCUUGAUCUCCAUCGUAGCAUCGUUGUCGUUUUGCCAACUAUUGCUUCUACGACUAUUGCUACCUCUUAGUGAUAAAGUAAAGCAAUUACAUGGCGAUUGCAUUUCAUACAAUAAAGCGACAACCAUAAGGCUCCUGCCAGUUGCCGAUAACUUUUACAAAACAUGAUCAUCUCAUACAAAAAUUUAUAUAUCAUCACGUCUUGACCAUAUCACAUCAAAGCAAGCCCUGCAAAAACAAGUUAUACGUCCUCUACUUUGUUGUUGCAAGUUUUACGUGGCUACUACGGGCUUCUAGCAAGAACCGUUCUUACCUACGCAUCAAAACCACAACGAUUUUUUGUCAAGUGUGCUGUUUUAACCUUCAACAAGGACUGGGCGUAGUCAAACUCGGUUCAACUAAAGUUGGAGAAACAGACACCCGCUAGCCACCUGUGUGCGAAGCACGUCGGUAGAACCAGUCUCAUGAACGCGGUCAUGUAAUGUCGGUCCGGGCCGCUUCAUCCAACAAUACCGCCGAAUCAAAGUAAGACAUUGCUGGUAAGCAGUAUGAGUAUUAUCGCCCACAACUCAUUGUGUUCUACUCGUGCAUAUAACAUCUACGCAUAGACCUGGCUUAGAUGCCACUGUUGGGGAACGUAGUAUUUCAAAAAAUUACUACGAUCAAGCAAGAUCUAUCUAGGAGAAGCAUAGCAACGAGCGGGGAUGUGUCCACGUACCCUUGUAGACCGAAAGCGGAAGCGUUUAGUAACGCGGUUGAUGUAGUCGAAUGUCUUUGCGAUCCAACCGAUCCAAGUACCGAACGUAUGGCACCUCCACGUUCAGCACAUGUUCAGCUCGAUGACGUCCCUCGAUCUCUUGAUCCAGCUGAGGACGAGGGAGAGUUCCGUUAGCACGACGGCGUGGCGACAGUGAUGAUGAAGUUACCGACGCAGGGCUUCGCCUAAGCACCACGACGAUAUGACCGAGGUGUGUAACUGUGGAGGGGGGCACCGCACGCGGAUAAGAGAAGACUUGGUGUGCCUUUGGGGUGCCCCCUCCCACGUAUAUAAAGGAGGGGAGGAGGAGGAGGCCGGCCAAGGGGGGUGACGGUGUCCUGGACUAGGGGGUACUCACCACGUCGUCUCCCGAUCAGUUGGAUUAGGCCGGGGACCCCCAUGGUCGUUUUCUCAUGGGCCAGUUCGGACAGCCGAUGUAUACACGAGGAAGAUUCCACAAGACUUGGUGAUCAAGACAAGGACUCCUCUCCACCGGCGUAUUCGACUAGGACUCUUGUUAUCCUAGGCCUCUGGUACAUUAUAUAAGCCGAGGCCAGGCUAGUCGAUAGAUGAUCAUGACAUUACUCAUCAUACCUCUAGGGUUUAGACCACAACAUAUGAUCUCGAGGUAGAUCAACUCUGUAAUCAUACGCAUUGAAUACAAUCAAAAGCAGCAUGUAGGGUAUUAUCUCUUCGAGAGAGCCCGAAGCCAGGUAAAAUCCCGUGUCCAUGUUACCAUUGAUCCUAAGACACGCAGCUUGGGACCCCCUACCCGAGAUCUGCCGGUUUUGACACCGACAAUGGUGCUUUGAUUGAGAGUUCCGCUGUGUGGUCGGCAAAAGGAUAAAUGGCUCGCUUGUAGAUCAACUGCGACGUCGGUGUCUUCGUCGCUGCCUCGACUGGUCACCUUGGCUUGACCAAGGACUGUGCCCUACCUCCAAUCAUCAUGUUCGGACGAGGGCCUUCAUCAACAUCAACUCCGAUCUCUAUCAAGAUUAUGGAGGAAUCAUCCAUGGAGCUUGGGGGCUCAACGUCAACAUUGCCCUCGGGCGACCGUGCUGUUUUCCGAACAACAAACUUGUAUCCGCUACCACCACCUCCUCGAGCAUCGCUUUGACGAUUCCUUUGGUGGAAUUGUGCGGAAUUGAGUCUACAACAACACUGUAAAAUUUUGUCGCGUUCCGAUGGAGCAAUCUCCGCCGGUCUCCGAUAUACCAGAGCUCCGUCGAAUCUGGACGAGUUUGGAGCAUGGUGUCCCGUACCUAGCUCGGACGUCCUUUGGAAGAUCCAACCGUUGAUCGGCUGCAGAAUUCCUAUAUCUACCACCCCUCAAAAUUUCAGCUUGAUCCGACUGUCCAAACUUCGAGAACCUUUCGAUUAAUGCAUCACUUUUCAGAUCUGUUUUCUGCGUGAGAACGAAUCCGACCCGAGUUCAUCUUUUUUAUGAACGGGGUUUCGGACAUCCUUUUUGAAGGAAGUUUUGUAUGGGGUAUUGUGUUUUGUUCCCAAACACAUCCCAUUAAUUUUAAAGUCUUUUCCAAUAUGAUCUUCACCAUCGCGCCGGUGUCAAACCAGCCCGACAAUGUUGCUCCACUGCUGCCGACCUGCGCUAGACACGUCGUCGCUUUGAUGACCCGAGCUCAACUUCUUCGGAUCAUCAUCUCGGCAAGCCGAACAAGAGUUCGGCAUCGCGAAGGAUAAAUCAUCACCAACCUCGCCGCCCCACGGAUUAGACGGAGCGGGCACAUCAGCAUCGCCGCACGGUCACUUCAUCAAGCCGGCAUUGACCACGUCACAAGUUAUGACCUGCAUCGGCCUGGCCGCACCGUUGCUUCUUCGACCUGAUGUCCAUCACGCUGAACUACUUCAACACCUCGGCUGACAUGGCGGCUGCAACGCCUCCUUACCGACCUGCUCCGUCACCUCGUCUGGACCAGGGGCUUCGCCAUCCCUUCAUCAACCUACUCUGGAGACUUCGGCGUCGUCAGCCGACCAGCUUCGUCAUGUUAGCUGGACCGGGGGCUUUGCCUCGGCGAGCCAACCUUUACCAGCAUCGCCAUGCCGUCGCUUCACCGCCCAUCACGCAAUGGAUGUGCGGAUCGAGUCCCAAUUUUGGGAGUCACUUUUCUUCGGACUGCUACAACAAAUAAACCAGGUGUUAUUAAUCCUAGCAAUUUUUGCUUGUUUGGGUUUAUUUUUCCCAAGGAAUUAUUACUCUGGUUUGUUCCAUCAUCUGUACACAGGUCUAUCAAAUGGCGACCGCAUUAACGACGGUCGCGUGGUGGUUCAGUCAGUUUCCGUACAUAGUUCGACGAACACCGCAUCCGGAACUCGGACCGACCUGUGAAUUCAGGCUUUGCCACGCCUUUACUGCAUCAUGCCGACGCCCUGCAUCGACAUUGACUUCGGCGCCAGGCCACAUAUUUUUAAAUAAAUUAUCUUGCGUAAAUUAAUUACGCGAGGAUUUUUAUAUAUUUAUAUUAUUAUUGUUGGCCUGCACUAUUUUACAUGUGCCGGUAAUGGACUUUGACUGCGUCACGUAGUCUCUUCAGCAAGCCGACACCGUCGUCCCAAUCAGCGUAAAUCGGCUCGCGUGAUUACCUUGUUGGUCGUGUUGCCAUACCGACGUGUUCGGUUGCCUCGGGGACUUCAGCAUCGCCGAGAGAGCUCUACCUCAUCAAGCGUUCGGCGCACAGGCCAUAUUUCUUUUAUUACUCAUUUUCCAUAAAUUAUUUAUUAUGCAACAAUUUUUUAAUUUAUUAUUAUUAUUACUAUUAUCUCCGGUUUGCACUAUUUUUUGUGCACAGGUAAAUGAUUUGGGUCAGGCAGUGUUGUCACCUCAGCGUACUGACAUACCACGUCACCUUGACUGGACGGGAGGCUUCGUCAACACUUCAUUAACCCACGCCGGGGACUUUGGCGUCACUCUGCUGGCCUGCAUUGGCCGUGCUAUGUCACCACUUCAGAGUGCCGAGCUCUUCGCUCCGCCACCUCGGGACCGGCUUGGGGGAUGGAACCUUGUCCCACAUCAAGCUCGGACUGCGUCAUCAAUGCCGAACACAUUAACCAGCUAAGUCGCUUUCAUGCUCAAAGUUUUAAAUUUUUAACUUGUAUUCGGUUCAACCAUGCUCACAUACGUUGUUCGUUAAAAGAAACUCCCCUUACCCAUGUUAACUGGGGGCUUUUAAAAUUUACACGAGCCGUUCUAUAAGUUUCUUCUUGGUCGUUGCAAUGCAUUUUUCUAGCGCUCCUUUUUUGACUCGAGUGUAUGGUCAAUAGCCGGAUAGCCUAGCUUCUCUCUAAAGCCUCUCGAGUUUAGUUCGCUAAACUGGCCUCAGAGAAGCACUCCGCCUUCGGGAUAAGGAGCUUGAAGCCAUAGGCUGACCCGCUUGAAGUCUUGAGAUCAGAUGUGUCAUGUUAAAGCAUGACAGAAGCACCAUUUUUUUAAAAGACCAAUUUCUGGAUUGGCACCAAAAUCUCAGUUUAGUCCGGACGUCAAGCUUUUACAUAAGUUUUUGGCUUUUCGAGCCUAUGGCACUUUUAAACUAUUGGUGUGUUUGCAGCAUAAGUCUCGUAGUGCAACGCCUGACACCUUUAGAGAUUCUGCAAAAAUAUUCUCGGAUAUUGCUAUAUAUGCAUCAGUUUCGAAUUGUGUCUUUGGUCAAUAGUUGGGUUGCCCGGCUCCUAUGCUCUUUGUUCGGCUAGGUGUGCAAAGGGAGAACCACUGCGAUUGUGCUUCUAGCUCGCAUGGUUAAGCACCUCAGUGGAGAAAGCCGAAAACCGGCUGUCACAAUAAGCGUAAUCUAGUCAGCGAUCCGAUGACUAUGUUAAAUGACGGGCCGUUCAUAACAUUGGCCGAAGUGUUUACGGCUUGACCUCGGCUGUCGCCGAACACUAACCAGGGGCUAGUAGCUGGCCUCCCAACUUUAAGCUUCUAUGACUAAGUGAAAGUUAUAAAGCCCACAUAUCUGAUUACCUCAUUUCCGCUAACACAACCGCCUUCGGGCACUGAGACGUCGGCUAAGGGUUGUUUGUUAUUGCAGAAAUACUCUGCGUAGCAUCUACAAGGGGGUGGAAGCCGACGAUGGGACAAUUUCAACUGAUAAACGGUUGCAACAGAGUCAAAAUAAACAUAUCAUCGACAUUUUUAUUUAAUAUACAAGGGCCGCCUUUCAUAAUCAUUGUUAUAAAGCCAUAAAUAUGCAUCAAUUUCACUUAAGAUUUCGGCCAAGCUGGGUUGCCUGGCUCCUGUGAUUACCCCUAUGUUCCCGAUUGUUCGGCUAGGAGGUAAAGGGAGCACCUCUGUGAUUGUUACUUCUGGGUCAUCCGUGUUAGUACCUCAGACUGGGAGAAGCCGAAAGCUAGCCAUCUUAAAGAAUAUAAUUGGUCAGCAACGAGGAAGUGAAAAUUUUGGUCCAUUAAAAGCCACAGAGAUCGGGAACUUACCCCAAACUAAAUCCUCAAUAUUUUCCCCUGCAUCGAUCGGAGUUGAGGUUUCAUGAUCAUGGUCGGCAUGACAACCCAAAGAAAGGAACCAACAACGGGAUUAUUUUCUUUGGGAGAUGUUUCUUACAUCAAAUAUUAAUAUAACAUUCUCUCUGCAUACCUUUGUUUAUAAAACCAUAUGGCCGGAUUGCCUUGUUUCUCGUAAACCUUUGCCCUUGUAAAGGCUUUAUAAAGUAGGACAAACACUCCCCGGCCACUAGCCGAGGAGGUUGAAGCCGAUGGUCGGUCAACAAGGUGUUGUACAAUGCGGAUCUGAGCAUUUAUGAUGUAAAGUACUUGGAUACAUAGAAUCAUUACACAUAAAAAUUGCGAGUAAAAUCCAUUUACUGCAACUCUUUUAAACCCCUUGGGGUCUACCUUGGCGAGCUCGGAUUUCGACCAGCUCUAAGCUCCUUUAAGAGAUCUUUAUUCUCUUUCCGAGAAGUUUGUGUUAAACACAACAAAAUUUUCUGUCAAACGGAUAUCGAUCCUUAAUUCGGCCACCCGUGCCCACAUUAAGGCUCGGGGGCUACUGGGCUUGGCGCUCAUUAUUUAUAAAUAUUAAAGGGGCACAUCGAUCCCCUGAUCUGGUGUUGCCACCCGGCCAGCGUCUCGGGGGCUACUGCACUGCUUAUUCAAUGCAGAGAAUUCAAAGUGCUCAGUGUUCGGCAUGACCGAACUAUGGGCAAGCGCGUCUUCGGACAACAGUAAGUACCAUCUGGGACUUAUCCAACAUCAAGCUAAUAUAUCACGGCGACUUCUCACAACCCUCUCUCAGGGGCCUGUCUGCCGAUCAUUAUUUCUAAUAUAUUACACUGCAUUUCUAUUCCUACGUAUGCUGCCGAGCUAGGAGUUGAUCCUCAGGCCGAUUUUGCAAAUUGACCUGAGUCUCAGGGGCUACUAGGAUCAGCAGUUUUAUGUUUUCCUUCAGGUGCAUCUCGGGUUUUAGACCGAGGCACACCUUGAGGGCUACUGAUAUACAUAUACUGGCUAUAUAUCUCCAUAGAGAAUAAAUUGCACCAAUAAAAAUAUUCACAAAAAAAUCAGCCCGCCGUCGGGGUGGUGCACCACCUCGGAAGCAGCCUGGCAUAAAGCUCGGGCGCUAGUGACUGGCUCCAUAGAGGGCAUUCCCGGCAUUAAGCUCGGCUGAAUUCGUUCAAUCUUUUAAAAGACCGAGGUAGUUUACGACACCUCGGACGCUGACCGUCGUUGGAGCUCGGAAGUGGUCCAGCAUAAAGCUCGGAUUCGAAUGUCUCGUUCCAUAGAGAACUUUUCAGCGUUAAACUCGGAUAACCUCCUUCAAACUUUUUCAAGCCAAGGUGAUCUAUGACACCUCGGAUAUAGUCCGGCAUUGGAGCUCAGAUAUAAUCCGGCGUUGGUGCUCGGCUGCAAAAGAUAUUUCGAAUGCAGUCCGGUGUUGGAGCUCAGGUGCAAGAGGACACCGCCGCACGGGAACAACUUCAAACCCGAGGUGUGGCAUAAAAAAUAAUAACAAGACAUUAAUAAAGGCCAGAACUUAAAGGGGCUCCUCGGAUACCCGACAUGUAAACUCUUCGGAUUCACUUUGGCGAUGCUCAAGAUCGAAGAUGAGAUGAUUUAUUGAACCAGUUUUCAAGACCGACGACCGAAGAUGAAGAACAAUUCGGAAGAAUCGAGGAGCGUCCCCAACUUGAAGACCGAUUCAGGGGCCUACUGACGGUGUCCUGGACUAGGGGGUACUCACCACGUCGUCUCCCGAUCAGUUGGAUUGGGCCGAGGACCCCCAUGGCCAUUUGCUCAUGGGCCAGUUGGGACAGCCGAUGUAUACACGAGGAAGAUUCCACAAGACUUGGUGAUCAAGACAAGGACUCCUCUCCACCGGCGUAUUCGACUAGGACUCUUGUUAUCCUAGGCCUCUGGUACAUUAUAUAAGCCGAGGCCAGGCUAGUCGAUAGAUGAUCAUGACAUUACUCAUCAUACCUCUAGGGUUUAGACCACAACAUAUGAUCUCGAGGUAGAUCAACUCUGUAAUCAUACGCAUCGAAUACAAUCAAAAGCAGCAUGUAGGGUAUUAUCUCUUCGAGAGAGCCCGAAGCUGGGUAAAAUCCCGUGUCCAUGUUACCAUUGAUCCUAAGACACGCAGCUUGGGACCCCCUACCCGAGAUCUGCCGGUUUUGAAACCGACAGGGGGCACGUGCCAUGGGGAGUCCAACUAGGAUUCCCAAUCCUAGUUGGAGUCCCCUUCCUUCCAAGAGAGGGAGAGAGAGGGAAGGAGGAAGAGGGGAGAAGGAAAGAGGGGGCGCCGCCCCUCCCUAGUCCAAUCGGACUAGCCACGGGGGGCGUGCGGCCUCCCUUGUGGCCCUCCUCUCCUUUCCACUAAGGCCCAUGAAGUCCCAUGAACUUCCGAGGGGGGGGGGGGUUCCGGUAACCCCCGGUACUCCGUAACUCAUCCGAAACAACCCGAACCAUUCCGGUGUCCGAAUGUAACUUUCCAAUAUAUGAAUCUUUACCUCUUGACCAUUUUGAGACUCCUCGUCAUGUCCGUGAUCUCAUCCGGGACUCCGAACAAACUUUGGUCAUCAAAUCACAUAACUCAUAAUACAAAUCGUCAUCGAACGUUAAGUGUGCGGACCCUAUGGGUUCGAGAACUAUGUAGACAUGACCGAGACACAUCUCCGGUCAGUAACCAACAGCGGAACCUGGAUGCUCAUAUUGGCUCCUACAUAUUCUACGAAGUUCUUUAUCGGUCAAACCGAAUAACAACAUACGUUGUUCCCUUUGUCAUCGAUAUGUUACUUGCCCGAGAUUCGAUCGUCGGUAUCAUCAUGCCUAGUUCAAUCUCGUUACCGGCAAGUAUCUUUACUCGUUUCAUAAUGCAUCAUCCCACAACUAACUCAUUAGUCACAUUGCUUACAAGGCUCAUAGUGAUGUGCAUUACCGAGAGGGCCCAAAGAUACCUCUCCGAUACACGGAGUGACAAAUCCUAAUCUCGAUCUAUGCCAACUCAACAAACACCAUCGGAGACACCUGUAGAGCAUUUUUAUAAUCACCCAGUUAUGUUGUGACGUUUGAUAGCACACAAAGUGUUCCUCCGGUAUUCGAGAGUUGCAUAAUCUCAUAGUCAGAGGAACAUGUAUAAGUCAUGAAGAAAGCAAUAGCAAUAAAACUAAACGAUCAUUAUGCUAAGCUAACAGAUGGGUCUUGUCCAUCACAUCAUUCUCUAAUGAUGUGAUCCCGUUCAUCAAAUGACAACACAUGUCCAUGGCUAGGAAACUUAACCAUCUUUGAUUAACGAGCUAGUCAAGUAGAGGCAUACUAGGGACACUCUGUCUGUCUAUGUAUUCACACAUGUACUAUGUUUCCGGUUAAUACAAUCCUUGCAUGAAUAAUAAACAUUUAUCAUGAUAUAAGGAAAUAUAAAUAACAACUUUAUUAUUGUCUCUAGGGCAUAUUUCCUUCAAGCAGUUCAUCCUCGGCGCUGAGGGUAUGUACUAGUUGCUAUGUGUUCAAUAUCUCUCUCCCAUGUUCUUAAAAGUUUCCGAUCUUGAUUGUAUAAUUGGCUUGUUAAUAAAGUUGGAUCUUAUGAUGUUUCCCCGUCUAUUCUUUUUGUGGUGGAUGUCUUGAACUUUGAAAAUUCUUUAUGUUGGAUUGAAUAAUUUGGAUUUGAGAUUAUCUGAUGAAUGUCUAGUAUAACAUGCGGAUACCCGUGGUGACACUGGGGUAUUAUAUGCAUAAAAGGUUGAACGAUAGUAUAAUAUGGUUGCGUAGUACAAUUUUUGGGACUAUUCGUGAGACAUUGGGAUGGUUCAAUAGAUUAAGAUUGGACGACGAUUUGCUAUUAAGCGCACCUUCUAAGAUGCCCAAUGCAUCUAGAUGGAGGGAGUAGUAGAAAUCAAGGGCGGAGUAAUAGGUGAAGGCGUGUUGCAUGUUGUGGAACUAGUGGAAUUGGAGAAACAAAAUUAAUAAGGCUAGCUAGUCAUAGUGGGAGUAAGUUAGGUAGUAACAGAGCGCACUACAAGAAAUUUUUGCUUAUGUGGCAUGUAGUUAAUAAGGAGAGAGGUGUUUAGAGUAACAUAUUAUGUUAAUGUAACAUAGCACUUCCCGAGAAAGAAUGAGUCUGCAAGCUAAUAAAUGAAGCCAUCUAGUAUAACACUACUACUAUGUUACUUUGCACUAUGGAAAUAGUAAUUUAGACUAGUGUCAUAUGCAUGACACUAGUAUAAGUUACUCCCCACUAUGACUAGCCUAAAGGGGAAGCUAGCCUCUUGAUAGAGAGUGUUGACAUGUAGGUGACUAGGUUGGUGACAAAAUCUCUGCAAUUGAGUACAAAAACCAGUAUGAGGAAAGAGAAAAACAUUUCUAUGCAUUGGAAACAACCGGAAGGUGACUUAAUCAAUAUCAACAUUGAUGUAGCAUAUCAUCCUGAGAAGUAGCAAUGAGCCUGGGGAUUUAUGGUCCGUGGUAGCGGUGGAUUCGUCAAGGGAUCAAGUGUAGGCUGUCUAUGACGUAUGACAAGCGUGACAUGGCGGAGGCGGUGCAUGCAACUGCUGGUUGGGGAAUGGUGAAUAUUCAGCUCGAAGCGGAUGGCCAGAAUUUUAUACAAGCUUUGCAAAGUGUUGACGCUUGAAAAUGGCAUGAUCGCAAAGAAUGGCUUGAGGAUAUAAUGAGAUGAUGUUAAAAUUAUGAGUUCAUGUCACCAUUUUAUGGCUCUCUUCAAGAUGAUCGAAAUAGAUAUAGAGAUGGUCCAAAACGGAGCUCGGAGGCAAAAGUUAUGAUAAUCUUAGAGAUGCUCGUAUUGGCAUGAGAUCAAAGAAUGGCAUGAAACCUAAUUAAGAUGGCCUCAGAUGAAAAAGUUACAACUAAAAAGUUCUUCGUCUCGUCGAAAUGGACGAUUUUAAUAUAAAAAUCGUCCCCAUCCGAGGUCGUAUGCGAGUUCUACGGCCAAAACUGUGCACCGCAACACUGCAUGUCCGGAUCAUCCGGACCGGGGGCCGAAAAUUUGACCCAAACAACAGAAGCUAAAAGUUGAAGCCGGAUGAUCUCGGUCGAGUCCCGGAUGAUCCGGGUAAAGGCCGGACAAUCCGGGCAAUCGUCCGGACAAGUUUUUCUGCUGCAUACUUUAGAAAACAGCCCGAAACACCCUCAAGAUGGCCUCAUAUCGAAAAGUGUUCAACACGAAAGUUGUGCGUCUCGUUGAGACGGUUGCUUUUGAUAUAAAAAUCAUCUUAAUCCGAGUUCGUAUGAAAAAGUUACAGCCCGAUUAGUGGACUGCUAUCAGAAAUCUGGGCUUGGCCGGAUCAUCCGGGCCUAGAGCCGGACAUCCGGGCCGGAGGUCGUGAGAAGUCCGAAUUUGGUUACAUUUUGAUGAUUUGGACGGAAAGGAAAGUCCUUUUCUUGUACGGAAAGUCCAUACGCCUCUUAUAUAGACAAGAGGUGACGGCCGACUGAACAACACACAAUCGAUCAAAUCUAUCUACAUCUUUUACCUUUACUUUUCCUUCUCCCUUGUUCUUCUUCUUCCUCAUUCUUCGUUCGUUCUUCUUCAUUGCAGGGCGGCGAACCUCGACGCCCUAGGGGCGAUCAGGUCGACCUAGGGCAGCCCAUAGCCGCCGUGCGCUCUAACGGGGUCCCUCCCGGGCAUGUGGGGUUUCGGGUGUACAAAAGCGCCCGCCGGAUUGUCUUGCGUACCGCGCUUCCGGUGGGUCUCCUUCGACGUGAACUGCGGUGUAUCACCCCCGGCGUUGAGGGUACACGGUGACAUGUUCGUGUGCGAACACACUUUUUGGCGACUCCGCUGGGGACGAAGCUUUGAACGGUCUCCGGCCCGUUCUUGCUACGAAGAGAUCAUCAUCUAGGGUUUGCAAUCUACAAAGGUAAUAUGAAUACCCAAUUCACAUAUGUAGAUGCAAAUAAUGCAUAUGUUGUUCCUAGAUCAUCUAAUGAGCAUAAUGUAUUGGCUAGCCCUGACUUUAUCAAUCAUGCAUCUAAUUAUGUGCAAGGGCCGAUGCAAAAAAAUCUCCAUGAUUCUACUUCAUAUAAUUUUAGCAACAUGCAACAUAUGUAUCCCAACUCCUAUGCAUCGGCAACCCCGCAAAUCCAUAUGCCGAUGAACAACAUGGUGAGUUCGAUUAAUAAAUUCGAAACACCUCAUGUUAGAAUUUCCAAUGCCAUGCAACAAAGUGUUUUACCCUUUUAUUCAUCGGCAACUAAUUUGCAAUAUGUGAAUCCAAACGUGCCGGUGGAUAGGGGAAUUGGCCAUGCUACUACUAGUUAUUCGGCCAAUUACCCUCAACCAUCAUAUGCUACACCUCAUGUUAGUAAUUUUUCAGCACCGUAUGCAACUGUAGAUGUUCAUAAUUCGGCCCCACAUCUUCAUGGUCAUAGCCAAAUAAGUGAAAAGUUUACAGGAACACAUGUGCCGUCAUCAAAUACUGUAGCAUAUAAUGCAUACUCUACGCAAUUCAAGAAUUUCGGCAACACUCACGAAUCAUUGCCGAAAGAAUCUGAAAGUAUUGCGGAGCAAUCCCUUCCAGAAGCGGUUGUGGUUGCAUUAAAAAAGAGCUUGGCACAAAACAAGAGAAUUAGUGCUCUUUGCCUUGAACAAUAUGAAAAGGGGUUGUUUCCUGAUUAUGCUGCAAUAAAGGCCAGAAUUUUGCAGGAAGAUGAAACUUCAUCAAUUGGUAGUAUUGGUGAGAGAGCAUAUGGUUGUACAGCAGUGCAUACACCUCCACCUAGUACUGCAGCAUAUUAUACACCCCCUACACAAUUGCAAAAUUUCAGCAACACUAACACUUCAUUGCCGAAAGAUCCUAAAAGCAUUGGGGGGCAAACUAAUCUAGAGCGGGCUGAAAUUGAGAGGGGAGUUAAAGCUUUGCGCGAUAGGGUGCAAGUACUUCGCCAAGAGAGAAUUGAUAGGGAAUUAGCUCAAAGAAAAGAAGCCUUGCCAAUUAAUAUAACCGGUGAAAAGAAUGAUGAUUCAGAAACUAAAAGUGCUUCGGUUGAAAAAGCCGAAUCAAGUAGUAUAUAUUUCGAAUCCAUCAAAUCCAAAGAGGCAAACAUUGUUGAGAAAGGGCAUGGAAAGUAUAGCAAGACAACCAUACUUGAUUUUUCUGAAGUUAAUGGAACCUACUUCCUGCCCUAUGAGUUUCGUGCCAUAGAAAUUGAUGAGCUUCAAGAACAAGAACAAGUAGCCGAAGAAAGUUUGGUGGACAAAUAUCUUCAAACUAAUGAUGCACGAAAUCAAGAAAAAGAUGAUGACAAGGCGUUGGGGAGCUAUCCGAAGGCGGAGCAAGAUAUUCUUCAGGUCACGCCACCAUCAUGCUCUCCCAAUAUAUUUGAAGAGGUAUGUCUAGCAAUUAAUUUACCCGUUUUCAGAUUUGGUCAUGACUUAGUUGUUGAUGCAUAUAUAAGAAAAAUCUUCAUAAGAAAUAUUGAGAGACCAAUGAAGAAUGGUAAAGUAUUUGUUAGCAAUCAGAUUGUCACAAAGCAUAUCGGUCAACACAUUGCACCAUUCAGAAAGACCGAUAGCGAAAAAUUAUUGCAGCCAAGGCCUUCCCCAUUUCUUUAUCUAAAGCUCAUAUCUAAUUGGGUAGCUUUGCUUAUUUAUUACUUGGCUUACACUUGGUCUCAAUUGAGACAUGUAUGUUCUAACUAUUUUCAUUUCAGAAAUUUAAAGCCAAGGUUAAAAUCUUUUGAGAAAACCGAUGCUAGUAUAGUUUCUUAUCCAAAGACAUCGGAGAUAGAGUGCAAAACACAAUGCAUAGCCGAAUUGGAUGAUGCAAAAUCUGAACCAUUCGUUUGCUUAACUCCAAAGACAUUCUCACAACAAGAUCGGCUAGAGAAUAAAAAGUUUACCUUCAAUUCAAACAUGUCUGAUCAAAUCUUUGAUUUGUUGUUGAGAAAUAAUUAUAUUAGAAUUCUUGAUCACCAUGUUGAGCCAUAUGUCCAGGGACGAAUGUAUUGUAAGUUGCAUGAUUCGUCCAAGCAUAAUUUUGAGGAUUGCAACAUGUUCCGUCAAAUAUUAAAUCGGCCAUUGAUAAAGGACGAUUGAAAUUUGUUGAGACACCAAGAGAUGAGCAGUCUAUUCCAAUUGGUCCCGAUGGUAAAAGGUUUUUGCAUCGGCUGAUUCAAGGUGAUCCAUUUAAAGAGAAGGUAAAAACUGCAGGUGAUGGGAUCAAGCUUUCAAGUAAAGAAGUUGUUAAAGAGCAUAAUGAACAUAAUCUUGAGGGCGAGAAUUCCAUCGAAGCUACAACGGGGACGCCAAGGACUGGGGGGAACAAGAUAAUCCAGAGAUCGGUGCAAGCACAACCAAAGAAAACAAAGGCCGACAUAAGCACAAAGGUAAAAAGCCGAAAUUCACUUUCGCGCAACUAUUGGAAAAAUAUCAGAAGAUAAGUGAGAAGAACAGUGCUUAUCGGCCAACUAAUCCAAAAGCAUCAAGAUCACCCCCUAGGCACAAAUCCAAGGAUCGAUAUUGGCAAGAAGAGAAUUUGAAUGCAACUUGUUCAUAUCCUUAUUUUGGGCCGCCAAUGCCAAUGUCGUGGAUGCCUCCCUAUGCUAAUGUAGAUCCAUAUCCAUCAUGGGACAGGUAGGAUACAAGGGAACACUCUCCAUCUUAUUUUAGAACAUCUCACCAAUAUUAUGCAGCUCCAAGAAAACAACAUUUGAACAAUCACAUGUUAAAGACCGUUUCAAUCAUAAGGAAUCGGUCCGGAGCUCAAGGAAGAAGAAAGAGGUAGUCAAACAAGUUUACCGCGUUAAAAGAGAUCGUCGUAAGAGUGCUACUUCAGAUUUGAUCUCAAAUGAAAAAGAGCCAAUGUAAGUGUUGACAUUGGCUACUAAAGGCAAUGAGAUGAAGCAACCAAUUAUUGAAAGUCAAAGUGCCAAAUUUGAAGAAAGGAAGUUGAGACUGCACAAGGCCAAAAAGGAAUUGCCAUUGGUCAAGACAGAACCAUAGCCGAGAUGCCCACUCGGCUUAUCGUAUUGGCAAAAGAAGAAAUUACAAAAUCUUAGCGCACAAGAGCUGAGACAGAAGAAUAUGGCAUGGGUUCCCAAGAAGACCAAUCAUAGCAAAAAUGAUUUGCAUGCUUCUAUUGCAACAAGUACAAUAAAAGUGAAGAAAGAGAAGGAUGGAAGCAACAAAUAAUUAAGCCGAAGGCGUGCAUCACAACAUCAGAAUCUUCGGUUAGCACAUCGUCCAUUUUCUUAAACCAUGCCAUUGAUGCCUUUGCCAUGGAAUUCAUCCCUAGGUAUGAUCAAUUACCCUCCAUGGAUUUUUUUGAUCCAUGGAUACAACAUAAUUUUCUAUAUCAUGAGAGGGUAUUACCAAAUUACUAUACAUUUGGUUAGUUACAUUGUUGCUAAUACAAAGGGGCCGAAAUAUUUUAUUCCUAUUUUAUUUGUUUAUUUCGGCUAUACAUAUUUUGGUGGGUGAAUUCUACAUGGACCUCAUGUUAAUGGCUGAUAUUUAUCUAUCGCCCUAAGAAUAUGUCAAAGCAUGGCCGGUGUAGUAUCCUAACAUCGUCCUUAGUUCAAUUGGAGACCAAAACAAGCCUCAUGCCGCUUAAAAUAUUUUUUUCACAAUAAUCAAAGCGAAAUAUAAAAUUUUAUUCGGUUUGGAGCUUUUGGUUUCCAUAGGUGCUAUAUAUAUUGAGACUUUGGGUGAUUCGUUAUGAGUAGUACAACAAAUAUCCAAGAGUUAUCAAUGUUUUAACGAAUCACUUAUAGUUUAUCUUGAGGUAUGCCUAGAUGCAAAAUUUACCUUGGGUUGCUUUAAAAUUGUUCAUAUUUCUAGGCAUGACAAUUCAAGAGAGUUGGCACAGCAAGCAUUCGGCUACUAUGUUAAUCAUGGUGUAUUGCAUUUCUAUCAAUAGCCGAUGCAUAGUCUCGUCACCAUAGGUAAGGCCGAACCGAAGUCCACCGCUUCAGCCACUAAUGAAUUUUUUAUGCAGGCGAAAGUAAGGAUUUGAGAAAGUUUAUUGUUGAUUAUCUGCAAAAUCCUAGCAAAAGGGUGGUUCGGAGAACGACCUUGAGAUACAUAUCUAUGGAACUUUAUCAUUGGAUUUCUUAAUGAUGUUGAGAAGGUUUGGCCCAAGUUUGCAUCAAGGAUUCAAAUAAAUAAUGACCGCUAUGUAUUUAUCGCCCUAAGCACAUGCAAAGUGGCCGAUGGAGUGUUGACAUCGUCCUUAGAACCAACACGGCGCAAGUUAUUUUUCGGCACACUAGCUUUGCAGAAAAACAGGGGGACAUGUGUUGACGCUAAAAGUUGAAGCCGGAUGAUCUGGGUCGAGUCCCGGAUGAUCCGGGUAAAGGCCGGACAAUCAGGGCAAUCGUCCAGACGUCCGGACAAGUUUUUCUGCUGCAUACUUUAUAGAAAAGCCCUAAACACCCCGAAGAUGGCCUCAUAUCGGAAAGUGUUCAACACGAAAGUUGUGCGUAAUAUCGCGACGGUUGAUUUUGAUAUAAAAAUCAUCUUAAUCCGAGUUCGUCUGAAAAAGUUACAGCCCGAUUAGUGGACUGCUAUCAGAAAUCUGGGCUUGGCCGGAUCAUCCGGGCCUAGAGCCGGACAUCCGGGCCGGAGAUCGUGAGAAGUCCGAAUUUGGUUACAUUUUGAUGAUUUGAACGGCAAGGCAAGUCAUUUUCUUGUACGGGAAGUCCAUCCGCCUCUUAUAUAGCCAAGAGGUGACGGCCGAUUGAACAACACACAAUCGAUCAAAUCUAUCUACAUCUUUUACCUUUACUUUUCUUUCUCCCUUGUUCUUCUUCUUCCUCGUUCUUCGUUUGUUCUUCUUCAUUGCAGGGUGGCAAACCUCGAGGCCCUAGGGGCGAUCAGGUCAAUCUAGGGCAGCCCAUAGCCGCCGCGCGCCCUGACGGGGUCCUUCCCGGGCGUGUGGGGUUUCGGGUGUACAAAAGCGCCCGCCGGAUUGUCUUGCGUACCGCGCUUCCGGUGGGUCUAAUUCGACAUGAGCUGCGGUGCAUCACCCCCGGCGUUGAGGGUACACGGUGACGUGUUCGUGUGCAAACACAAAGUGAUGAGUUUGAUCAUACCGAAAGGAGUCAUCUACAGAGAGACCAGCCUGUUUAUUUGCAUCAACUUUAAUUCUGUUAGUUUUUCUCAUUGUCCCCGUGAUUGUAAUAAGUUAGCACACGCUAUGGUGGUGGUUGGUGCACGUUUGCGUGAACCUACGCAGCUAUUUCAACGACAACUAAUAUGGAUCGGAGAGAGUUUUAAAAAGAAGUUGGUGUUUAUAAGUUCAUCGGGUUUUUUUGUUCGUCCAGCCCUUGGUGGAUGGCUAGGGCGACUGUUGCUGUGCAUGCUCUCUAGAAGCCAACUUGGGGGUCGCAUUCGCCCGUGUCUAGUUCAGCACACUUGGGCCGCGUAGUAAUCAGUGAAAAAAUUGGUGUGUUUGCAUGGAGUCGCACAAUGUCUUAAUCUUGAUAACCAAAUGGGCUAGCAAACUCUGGUAAACUGUUGGGGAACGUAGUAAUUUCAAAAAAAAUCUACGCACACGCACGAUCAUGGUGAUGCAUAGCAACGAGAGGGGAGAGUGUUGUCCACGUACCCUCAUAGACCGAAAGCGGAAGCGUUAGCACAACGUGGUUGAUGUAGUCGUAUGUCUUCACGAUCCGACCGAUCCAAGUACCGAACGUACGACACCUCCAAGUUCAGCACACGUUCAGCUCGAUGACGUCCCUCGAACUCCGAUCCAGCCGAGCUUUGAGGGAGAGUUCCGUCAGCACGACGGCGUGGUGACGAUGAUGAUGUUCUACCGACGCAGGGCUUCGCCUAAGCACCGCUACGAUAUUAUCGAGGUGGACUAUGGUGGAGGGGGGCACCGCACACGGCUAAGAGAUCAAGAGAUCAAUUGUUGUGUCUUUGGGAUGCCCCCUGCCCCCGUAUAUAAAGGAGCAAGGGGGGAGGCUCCUGGCCUAGGAGGAGGGCGCGCCAAGGGGGGAGUCCUACUCCCACCGGGAGUAGGACUCCUCCUUUCCUUGUUGGAGUAGGAGAAGGGAAGGGAGAAGGAGAAGGAAGGAAGGGGGCGCCCCCCUCCCUAGUCCAAUUCGGAAUAGUCCAUGGGGAGGGGUGCGCCCACCCUUUGGGGCCUUUCUCUCCUUUCCCGUAUGGCCCAUUAAGGCCCAAUACGAAUUCCCGUAACUCUCCGGUACUCCGAAAAAUACCCGAAUCACUCGGAACCUUUCCGAUGUCCGAAUAUAGUCGUCCAAUAUAUCGAUCUUUACGUCUCGACCAUUUCGAGACUCCUCGUCAUGUCCCUGAUCUCAUCCGGGACUCCGAACUCCUUCGGUACAUCAAAAAAAUAAACUCAUAAUAUAACCGUCAUCUAACUUUAAGCGUGCGGACCCUACGGGUUCGAGAAUUAUGUAGACAUUACCGAGACACGUCUCCGGUCAAUAACCAAUAGCGGAACCUGGAUGCUCAUAUUGGCUCCCACAUAUUCUACGAAGAUCUUUAUCGGUCAAACCGCAUAACAACAUACGUUGUUCCCUUUGUCAUCGGUAUGUUACUUGCCCGAGAUUCGAUCGUCGGUAUCUCAAUACCUAGUUCAAUCUCGUUACCGGCAAGUCUCUUUACUCAUUCUGUAAUACAUCAUCCCACAACUAACUCAUUAGUUGUUAUGCUUGCAAGGCUUUAAGUGAUGUGCAUUACCAAGUGGGCCCAGAGAUACCUCUCCGACAAUCGGAGUGACAAAUCCUAAUCUCGAAAUACGCCAACCCAACAAGUACCUUCGGAGACACCCGUAGAGCACCUUUAUAAUCACCCAGUUAUGUUGUGACAUUUGGUAGCACACAAAGUGUUCCUCCGGUAAACGGGAGUUGCAUAAUCUCAUAGUCAUAGGAACAUGUAUAAGUCAUGAAGAAAGCAAUAGCAUAAUACUAAACGAUCGUGUGCUAAGCUAACGGAAUGGGUCAAGUCAAUCACAUCAUUCUCCUAAUGAUGUGAUCCCGUUAAUCAAAUGAAAACUCAUGUCAAUGGCUAGGAAACAUAACCAUCUUUGAUCAACGAGCUAGUCAAGUAGAGGCAUACUAGUGACACUCUGUUUGUCUAUGUAUUCACACAUGUAUGAUGUUUCCGGUUAAUACAAUUCUAGCAUGAAUAAUAAACAUUUAUCAUGAUAUAAGGAAAUAAAUAAUAACUUUAUUAUUGCCUCUAGGGCAUAUUUCCUUCAGUCUCCCACUUGCACUAGAGUCAAUAAUCUAGAUUACACAGUAAUGAUUCUAACACCCAUGGAGCCUUGGUGCUGAUCAUGUUUUCCUCGUGGAAGAGGAUUAGUCAACGGGUCUGCAACAUUCAGAUCCGUAUGUAUCUUGCAAAUUUCUAUGUCUCCCACCUGGACUAAAUCCCGGAUGGAAUUGAAGCGUCUUUUGAUGUGCUUGGUUCACUUGUGAAAUCUGGAUUCCUUCGCCAAGGCAAUUGCACCAGUAUUGUCACAAAAGAUUUUCAUUGGACCCGAUGCACUAGGUAUGACACCUAGAUCGGAUAUGAACUCCUUCAUCCAGACUCCUUCAUUUGCUGCUUCCGAAGCAGCUAUGUAUUCCGCCUCACACGUAGAUCCCGCCACGACGCUUUGUUUAGAACUGCACCAACUGACAGCUCCACCGUUUAAUGUAAACACGUAUCCGGUUUGCGAUUUAGAAUCGUCCGGAUCUGUGUCAAAGCUUGCAUCAACGUAACCAUUUACGAUGAGCUCUUUGUCACCUCCAUAAACGAGAAACAUAUCCUUAGUCCUUUUCAGGUAUUUCAGGAUGUUCUUGACCGCUGUCCAGUGAUCCACUCCUGGAUUACUUUGGUACCUCCCUGCUAGACUUAUAGCAAGGCACACAUCAGGUCUGGUACACAGCAUUGCAUACAUUAGAGCCUAUGGCUGAAGCAUAGGGAACAUCUUUCAUCUCCUCUCUAUCUUCUGCAGUGGUCGGGCAUUGAGUCUUACUCAACUUCACACCUUGUAACACAUGCAAGAACCCUUUCUUUGCUUGAUCCAUUUUGAACUUCUUCAAAACUUUGUCAAGGUAUGUGCUUUGUGAAAGUCCAAUUAAGCGUCUUGAUCUAUCUCUAUAGAUCUUGAUGCCCAAUAUAUACGCAGCUUCACCGAGGUCUUUCAUUGAAAAACUCUUAUUCAAGUAUCCCUUUAUGCUAUCCAGAAAUUCUAUAUCAUUUCCAAUCAGCAAUAUGUCAUCCACAUAUAAUAUCAGAAAUGCUACAGAGCUCCCACUCACUUUCUUGUAAAUAUAGGCUUCUCCAAAAGUCUGUACAAAACCAAAUGCUUUGAUCACACUAUCAAAGCGUUUAUUCCAACUCCGAGAGGCUUGCACCAGUCCAUAAAUGGAUCGCUGGAGCUUGCACACUUUGUUAGCUCCCUUUGGAUCAACAAAACCUUCCGGUUGCAUCAUAUACAACUCUUCUUCCAGAAAUCCAUUCAGGAAUGCAGUUUUGACAUCCAUUUGCCAAAUUUCAUAAUCAUAAAAUGCGGCAAUUGCUAACAUGAUUCGGACAGACUUAAGCAUCGCUACGGGUGAGAAGGUCUCAUCGUAGUCAAUCCCUUGAACUUGUCGAAAACCUUUUGCAACAAGUCGAGCUUUAUAGACAGUAACAUUACUGUCAGCGUCAGUCUUCUUCUUGAAGAUCCAUUUAUUCUCAAUUGCUUGCCGAUCAUCGGGCAAGUCAACCAAAGUCCACACUUUGUUCUCAUACAUGGAUCCCAUCUCAGAUUUCAUGGCCUCAAGCCAUUUCGCGGAAUCUGGGCUCACCAUCGCUUCUUCAUAGUUCGUAGGUUCGUCAUGGUCCAGUAACAUAACUUCCAGAACAGGAUUACCAUACCACUCUGGUGCGGAUCUUACUCUGGUUGACCUACGAGGUUCAGUAAUAACUUGAUCUGAAGUUUCAUGAUCAUCAUCAUUAACUUCCUCACUAAUUGGUGUAGGUGUCGCAGAAACCGAUUUCUGCGAUGAACUACUUUCCAAUAAGGGAGCAGGUACAGUUACCUCAUCAAGUUCUACUUUCCUCCCACUCACUUCUUUCGAGAGAAACUCCUUCUCCAGAAAAAUUCCGAAUUUAGCAACAAAAGUUUUUCCUUAGGAUCUGUGAUAGAAGGUGUACCCAACAGCCUCCUUUGUGUAUCCUAUGAAGACACAUUUCUCCGAUUUGGGUUCGAGCUUAUCAGGUUGAAGCUUUUUCACAUAAGCAUCGCAGCCCCGAACUUUAAGAAACGACAACUUUGGUUUCUUGCCAAACCACAGUUCAUAAGGCGUCGUCUCAACGGAUUUUGAUGGUGCCCUAUUUAACGUGAAUGCGGCCGUCUCUAAAGCAUAACCCCAAAACGAUAGCGGUAAAUCAGUAAGAGACAUCAUAGAUCGCACCAUAUCUAGUAGAGUACGAUUACGACGUUCGGACACACCUUUACGCUAUGGUGUUCCGGGUGGCGUGAGUUGCAAAACUAUUCCGCAUUGUUUCAAAUGAAGACCAAACUCAUAACUCAAAUAUUCUCCUCCACGAUCAGAUCGUAGAAACUUUAUUUUCUUGUUACGAUGAUUUUCAACUUCACUCUGAAAUUCUUUGAACUUUUCAAAUGUUUCAGACUUAUGUUUCAUUAAGUAGAUAUACCCAUAUCUGCUCAAAUCAUCUGUGAAGGUGAGAAAAUAACGAUAUCCGCCACGAGCCUCAAUAUUCAUCGGACCAAAUACAUCUGUAUGUAUGAUUUCCAACAAAUCUGUUGCUCUCUCCAUAGUUCCGGAGAACGGCGUUUUAGUCAUCUUGCCCAUGAGGCACGGUUCGCAAGUACCAAGUGGUUCCAAAAGUCCAUCAGUAUGGAGUUUCUUCAUGCGCUUUACACCGAUAUAACCUAAACGGCAGUGCCACAAAUAAGUUGCACUAUCAUUAUCAACUCUGCAUCUUUUGGCUUCAAUAUUAUGAAUAUGUGUAUCACUACUAUCAAGAUUCAACAAAAAUAGACCACUCUUCAAGGGUGCAUGACCAUAAAAGAUAUUACUCAUAUAAAUAGAACAACCAUUAUUCUCUGAUUUAAAUGAAUAACCAUCUCGCAUCAAACAAGAUCCAGAUAUAAUGUUCAUGCUUAACGCUGGCACCAAAUAACAAUUAUUUAGGUCUAAAACUAAUCCCGAAGGUAGAUGUAGAGGUAGCGUGCCGACCGCGAUCACAUCGACUUUGGAACCAUUUCCCACACGCAUCAUCACCUCGUCCUUAGCCAAUCUUCGCUUAAUCCGUAGCCCCUGUUUCGAGUUGCAAAUAUUAGCAACAGAACCAGUAUCACAUACCCAGGUGCUACUGCGAGCAUUAGUAAGGUACACAUCAAUAACAUGUAUAUCACAUAUACCUUUGUUCACCUUGCCAUCCUUCUUAUCCGCCAAAUACUUGGGGCAGUUCCGCUUCCAGUGACCAGUCUGCUUGCAGUAGAAGCACGCAGUCUCAGGCAUAGGUCCAGACUUGGGUUUCUUCUCCUGAGCAGCAACUUGCUUGCUGUUCUUCUUGAAGUUCCCCUUCUUCUUCCCUUUGCCCUUUUUCUUGAAACUGGUGGUCUUAUUGACCAUCAACACUUGAUGCUCCUUUUUGAUUUCUACCUCCGCAGCCUUUAGCAUUGCAAAGAGCUCGGGAAUUGUCUUAUCCAUCCCUUGCAUGUUAUAGUUCAUCACGAAGCUCUUGUAGCUUGGUGGCAGUGAUUGGAGAAUUCUGUCAAUGACGCUAUCAUCCGGAAGAUUAACUCCCAGUUGAAUCAUGUGAUUAUUAUACCCAGACAUUUUGAGUAUAUGCUCACUGACAGAACUAUUCUCCUCCAUCUUGCAGCUGUAGAACUUAUUGGAGACUUCAUAUCUCUCAAUCCGGGCAUUCUUUUGAAAUAUUAACUUCAACUCCUGGAACAUCUCAUAUGCUCCAUGACAUUCAAAACGUCAUUGAAGUCCCGGUUCUAAGCCGUAAAGCAUGGCACAUUGAACUAUCGAGUAGUCAUCAACACGUGACUGCCCGGCACAAUGUCUGCAGUUGCUGGCGCAGGUGGUACACCUAGCGGUGCUUCCAGGACGUAAUUCUUCUGUGCAGCAAUGAGGAUAAUCCUCAAGUUACGGACCCAGUCCGUGUAAUUGCUACCAUCAUCUUUCAACUUUGCUUUCUCAAGGAACGCAUUAAAAUUCAACGGAACAACAGCACGGGCCAUCCAUCCACAAUCAACAUAGACAAGCAAGAUACUAUCAGGUACUAAGUUCAUGAUAAAUUCAAGUUCAAUUAAUCAUAUUACUUAAGAACUCCCACUUAGAUAGACAUCCCUCUAAUCCUCUAAGUGAUCACGUGAUCCAUAUCAACUAAACCAUGUCCGAUCAUCACGUGAGAUGGAGUAGUUUCAACGGUGAACAUCACUAUGUUGAUCAUAUCUACUAUAUGAUUCAUGCUCGACCUUUCGGUCUCCGUGUUCCGAGGCCAUAUCUGUUAUAUGCUAGGCUCGUCAAGCUUAACCUGAGUAUUCCGCGUGUGCAACUGUUUUGCACGCGUUGUAUUUGAACAUAGAGCCUAUCACACCCGAUCAUCACAUGGUGUCUCAGCACGAAGAACUUUCGCAAUGGUGCAUACUCAGGGAGAACACUUAUACUUUGAUAAUUUAGUGAGGGGUCAUCUUAUAAUGCUACCAUCAAUCAAAGCAAGAUAAGAUGCAUAAAAGAUAAACAUCACAUGCAAUCAAUAUAAGUGAUAUGAUAUGGCCAUCAUCAUCUUGUGCUUGUGAUCUCCAUCUCCGAAGCACCGUCAUGAUCACCAUCGUCACCGGCGCGACACCUUGAUCUCCAUCGUAGCAUUGUUGUCGUCUCGCCAAUCUUAUGCUUCUAUGACUAUCGCUACCGCUUAGUGAUAAAGUAAAGCAUUACAGGGCGAUUGCAUUGCAUACAAUAAAGCGACAACCAUAUGGCUCCUGCCAGUUGCCGAUAACUCGGUUACAAAACAUGAUCAUCUCAUACAAUAAAUUUAGCAUCAUGCUUUGACCAUAUCACAUCACAACAUGCCCUGCAAAAACAAGUUAGACGUCCUCUACUUUGUUGUUGCAAGUUUUACGUGGCUGCUACGGGCUUAGCAAGAACCGUUCUUACCUACGCAUCAAAACCACAAUGAUAGUUUGUCAAGUUGGUGCUGUUUUAACCUUCGCAAGGACCGGGCGUAGCCACACUCGGUUCAACUAAAGUUGGAGAAACUGACACCCGCCAGCCACCUAUGUGCAAAGCACGUCGGUAGAACCAGUCUCGCAUAAGCGUAUGCGUAAUGUCGGUCCGGGCCGCUUCAUCCAACAAUACCGCCGAACCAAAGUAUGACAUGCUGGUAAGCAGUACGACUUAUAUCGCCCACAACUCACUUGUGUUCUACUCGUGCAUAUGACAUCUACGUAUAAAACCUGGCUCAGAUGCCACUGUUGGGGAUACUUUCCGAUGUGUAGAUGAAAUAGGAAAUAUGCCCUAGAGGCAAUAAUAAAGUUAUUAUUUAUUUCCUUAUAUCAUGAUAAAUGUUUAUUAUUCAUGCUAGAAUUGUAUUAACCGGAAACAUAAUACUUGUGUGAAUACAUAGAUAAACAAAGUGUCACUAGUAUGCCUCUACUUGACUACCUCGUUGAUCAAAGAUGGUUAUGUUUCCUAACCAUAGACAUGAGUUGUCAUUUGAUUAACGGGAUCACAUCAUUAGGGGAAUGAUGUGAUUGACUUGACCCAUUCCGUUAGCUUAGCACACGAUCGUUUAGUAUUCUGCUAUUGCUUUCUUCAUGACUUAUACAUGUUCCUAUAACUAUGAGAUUAUGCAACUCCCGUUUACCGGAGGAACACUUUGUGUGCUACCAAACGUCAGAACGUAACUGGGUGAUUAUAAAGGUGCUCUACAGGUGUCUCCGAAGGUACUUGUUGGGUUGGCGUAUUUCGAGAUUAGGAUUUGUCACUCCGAUUGUCGGAGAGGUAUCUCUGGGACCACUCGAUAAUGCACAUCACUAUAAGCCUUGCAAGAAUUGCAACUAAUGAGUUAGUUGCGGGAUGAUGUAUUACAGAACGAGUAAAGAGACUUGCCGAUAACAAGAUUGAACUAGGUAUUGAGAUACCGACGAUCGAAUCUCGGGCAAGUAACAUACCGAUGACAAAGGGAACGACAUAUGUUGUUAUGCGGUUUGACCGAUAAAGAUCUUUGUAGAAUAUGUGGGAGCCAAUAUGAGCAUCCAGGUUCCGCUAUUGGUUAUUGACCGGAGACGUGUCUCGGUCAUGUCUACAUUGUUCUCGAACCCGUAGGGUCCGCACGCUUAAAGUUCGAUGACGGUUAUAUUAUGAGUUUAUGUGUUUUGAUGUACCGAAGGUAGUUCGGGGUCCCGGAUGAGAUCGGGGACAUGACGAGGAGUCUCGAAAUGGUCGAGACGUAAAGAUCGAUAUAUUGGACGACUAUAUUCGGACAUCGGAAAGGUUCCUAGUGAUUCGGGUAUUUUUCGGAGUACCGGAGAGUUACGGGAAUUCGCCGGGGAGUAUAUGGGCCUUAUUGGGCUUUAGGGGAAAGAGAGAGGAGAGGCUGGGCGCCCCCCCAAGGCCUAGUCCUAAUUGUACUAGGGGGAGGGGCUGCGCCCCCUCCUUCCUUCUCUUCUCUCUCCCCUUUCCUUGACUCCUACUCCUACUACUUGGAAGGGGGGGAAUCCUACUCCCGGUGGGAGUAGGACUCCUCCUAGGGCGCGCCAUAGAGAGGGCCGGCCCUCCCCCCUCCUCCACUCCUUUAUAUACGGGGAGGGGGGCACCCCUUGGAGACACAACAAUUGAUCUCUUGAUCUCUUAGCCGUGUGCGGUGCCCCCCUCCACCAUAAUCCACCUCGAUAAUAUCGUAGCGGUGCUUAGGCGAAGCCCUGCGUCGGUAGAACAUCAUCAUCAUCACCACGCCGUCGUGCUGACGGAACUCUCCCUCAAAGCUCGGCUGGAUCGGAGUUCGAGGGACGUCAUCGAGCUGAACGUGUGCUGAACUCGGAGGUGCCGUGCGUUCGGUACUUGAUCGGUCGGAUCGUGAAGACGUACGACUACAUCAACCAUGUUGUGCUAACGCUUCCGCUUUCGGUCUACGAGGGUACGUGGACAACACUCUCCCCUCUCGUUGCUAUGCAUCACCAUGAUCUUGUGUGUGUAGGAAUUUUUUUGAAAUUACUACGUUCCCCAACAGUGGCAUCCGAGCCUGGUUUUAUGCGUCGGUGUUAUAUGCACGAGUAGAACACAAGUGAGUUAUGUGCGAUACAAGUCAUACUGCUUACCAGCAUGUCAUACUUUGGUUCGGCGGUAUUGUUGGAUGAAGUGGCCCGGACCGACAUUACGCGUACGCUUACGCGAGACUGGUUUUACCGCCGUGCUAUGCACACAGGUGACUAGCGGGUGUCAGUUUCUUCAACUUUAGUUGAACCGAGUGUGGCUACGCCCGGUCCUUGCGAAGGUUAAAACAACACCAACUUGACAAACUAUCGUUGUGGUUUUGAUGCGUAGGUAAGAACGGUUCUUGCUCAGCCCGUAGCAGCCACGUAAAGCUUGCAACAACAAAGUAGGGGACGUCUAACUUGUUUUUGCAGGGCAUGUUGUGAUGUGAUAUGGUCAAGGCAUGAUGCUAUAUUUUAUUGUAUGAGAUGAUCAUGUUUUGUAACCGAGUUAUCGGCAACUGGCAGGAGCCAUAUGGUUGUCGCUUUAUUGUAUGCAAUGCAAACGCCCUGUAAUGCUUUACUUUAUCACUAAGCGGUAGCGAUAGUCGUAGAAGCAUAAGUUGGCGAGACGACAGCGAUGCUACGAUGGAGAUCAAGGUGUCGCACCGGUGAUGAUGGUGAUCAUGACGGUGCUUCGGAGAUGGAGAUCACAAGCACAAGAUGAUGAUGGCCAUAUCAUAUCACUUAUAUUGAUUGCAUGUGAUGUUUAUCUUUUAUGCAUCUUAUCUUGCUUUGAUUGACGGUAGCAUUAUAAGAUGAUGUCUCACUAAAUUAUCAAGGUAUAAAUGUUCUCCCUGAGUAUGCACCGUUGCGAAAGUUCUUCGUGAUGAGACACCACGUGAUGAUCGGGUGUGAUAGGCUCUACGUUCAAAUACAACGGGUGCAAAACAGUUGCACACGCGGAAUACUCAGGUUAAACUUGACGAGCCUAGCAUAUAACAGAUAUGGCCUCGGAACACUGAGACCGAAAGGUCGAGCGUGAAUCAUAUAGUAGAUAUGAUCAACAUAGUGAUGUUCACCAUUGAAACUACUCCAUCUCACGUGAUGAUCGGACAUGGUUUAGUUGAUAUGGAUCACGUGAUCACUUAGGAGAUUAGAGGGAUGUCUAUCUAAGUGGGAGUUCUUAAGUAAUAUGAUUAAUUGAACUUAAAUUUAUCAUGAACUUAGUCCUGGUAGUAUUAGCAUAUCUAUGUUGUAGAUCAAUAGCUCGCGUUGUUGCUUCCCUAUGUUUAUUUUGAUAUGUUCCUAGAGAAAAACUAUGUUGAAAGAUGUUAGUAGCAAUGAUGCAGAUUGUAUCCGUGAUCUGAGGAUUAUCCUCAUUGCUGCACAGAAGAAUUAUGUCCUUGAUGCACCGCUAGGUGACAGACCUAUUGCAUGAGCAAAUGCAGACGUUAUGAACGUUUGGCUAGCUCAAUAUGACGACUACUUAAUAUUUUAGUGCACCAUGCUUAAUGGCUUAGAAUCGGGACUUCAAAGACGUUUUGAACGUCAUGGACCAUAUGAGAUGUUCCAGGAGUUGAAGUUAAUAUUUCAAGCAAAUACCCGAGUUGAGAGAUAUGAAGUCUCCAACAAGUUCUAUAGCUAAAAGAUGGAGGAGAAUAGCUCAAGCAGUGAGCAUAUGCUCAGAUUGUCUGGGUACUACAAUCGCUUGAAUCAAGUGGGAGUUAAUCUUCCAGAUAAAAUAGUGAUUUGACAGAAUUCUCCAGUCACCAUCACCAAGUUAGUAGAACUUCGUGAUGAACUAUAAUAUGCAAGGGAUGACAAAAGUAAUUCCCGAGCUCUUCGCGAUGUUGAUAUCGGCGAAGGUAGAAAUCAAGAAAAGAGCAUCAAGUGUUGAUGGUUAACAAGGUCACUAGUUUCAAGAAAAGGGCAAAGGGAAAGAAGGGGAACUUCAAGAAGAACGGCAAGCAAGUUGCUGCUCAAGUGAAGAAGCCCAAGUUUGGACCAAAGCCUGAUACUGAGUGGUUCUACUGCAAAAAGGACUGGUCACUGGAAGCGGUACUACCCCAAACAAUUGGUGGAUAAGAAGGAUGGCAAAGUGAACAAAAGUAUAUUUGAUAUACAUGUUAUUGAUGUGUACUUUACUAGUGUUUAUAGCAACCCCUCGGUACUUGAUACUGGUUCAGUUGCUAAAGAGUAGUAACUCGAAACAGGAGUUACAUAAUGAACAGAAACUAGUUAAGGAUGAAGUGACGAUGUGUAUUGGAAGUGGUUCCAAGAUUGAUAUGAUCAUCAUCGCACACUCCCUAUACUUUCGGGAUUAGUGUUGAACCUAAAUAAGUGUUAUUUGGUGUUUGCGUUGAGCAUGAAUAUGAUUUGAUCAUGUUUAUUGCAAUAAGGUUAUUCAUUUAAGUUAGAGAAUAAUUGUUGUUCUGUUUACAUGAAUAAAACCUUAUAUGGUUACACACCCAAUGAAAAUGGUUCGUUGGAUCUCGAUCGUAAGUGAUACACAUAUUCAUAAUAUUGAAGCCAAAAGAUGCAAAGUUAAUAAUGAUAGUGCAACUUAUUUGUGGCACUGCCGUUUAAGUCAUAUUGGUGUAAAGCGCAUGAAGAAACUCCAUGCUGAUGGGCUUUUGGAAUCACUUGAUUACGAAUCACUUGAUGCUUGCGAACCAUGCCUCUUGGGCAAGAUGACUAAAACGCCGUUCUCCGGAACAAUAGAGCGAGCAACAUAUUUGUUGGAAAUCAUACAUACUGAUGUAUGUGGUUCGAUGAAUAUUGAGGCUCGAGGCAGGUAUCAUUAUUUUCUGACCUUCACAGAUGAUUUGAGCAGAUAUGGGUAUAUCUACUUGAUGAAACAUAAAGUCUGAAACAUUUGAAAAGUUCAUAUAAUUUCAGAGUGAAGUGGAAAAUCAUUGUAACAAGAAAAUAAAGUUUCUAUGAUCUGAUCGUGGAGGAGAAUAUUUGAGUUACGAGUUUGGUCUUCAUUUGAAACAAUGCGGAAUAGUUUCGCAACUCACGCCACCUGGAACACCAUAGCAUAAUGGUGUGUCCGGACGUCAUAGCCAUACUUUAUUAGAUAUGGUGCGAUCUAUGAUGUUUCUUACCGAUUUACCACUAUAGUUUUGGGGUUAUGCAUUAGAGACAGCUGCAUUCACAUUAAAAAGGGGCACCAUCUAAAUCCGUUGAGACGACACCGUAUGAACUGUGGUUUGGCAAGAAACCAAAGUUGUCGUUUCUUAAAGUUUGAGGUUGCGAUGCUUAUAAGAAAAAGUUUCAUUCUGAUAAGCUCAAACUCAAAUCGGAGAAAUGUGUCUUCAUAGGAUACCCAAAGGAGACAGUUGGGUACACCUUCUAUCACAGAUCCGAAGGCAAGAUAUUCGUUGCUAAGAAUGGAUCCUUUCUAGAGAAGGAGUUUCUCUCGAAAGAAGUGAGUGGGAGGAAAGUAGAACUUGAUGAGGUAACUGUACCUGCUCCCUUAUUGGAAAUUAGUUCAUCACAAAAAUCUGUUCCUGUGACUCCUACACCAAUUAGUGAGGAAGCUAAUGAUGAUGAUCAUGUAACUUCAGAUCAAGUUACUACCGAACCUCGUAGGUUAACCAGAGUAAGAUCCGCACCAGAGUGGUACGGUAAUCCUGUUCUCGAGGUCAUGUUACUUGACCAUGACGAACCUACGAACUAUGAGGAAGCGAUGAUGAGCCCAGAUUCCGCGAAAUGGUUUGAGGCCAUGAAAUCUGAGAUGGGAUCCAUGUAUGAGAACAAAGUGUGGACUUUGGUUGACUUGCCCGAUGAUCGGCAAGACAUAGAAAAUAAAUGGAUCUUCAAGAGGAAGACGGACGCUGAUAGUAGUGUUACUAUCUACAAGGCUAGAAUUGUCGCAAAAAGGUUUUCGACAAGUUCAAGGUGUUGACUACGAUGAGAGUUUCUCAUUCGUAUCUAUGCUUAAGUCUGUCCGAAUCAUGUUAGCAAUUGCCGCAUUUUAUGAAAUCUGGCAAAUGGAUAAACAAAACUGCAUUCCUUAAUGGAUUUAUUAAAGAAGAGCUGUAUAUGAUGCAACAAGAAGGUUUUAUCAAUCCUAAAGGGGCUAACAAAAUAUGCAAGCUCCAACGAUCCAUCUAUGGACUAGGGCAAGCAUCUCGGAGUUGGAAUAUACGCUUUGAUAAAUUGAUCAAAGCAUUUAGUUUUAUACAGACUUGAGGUGAAGCCUGUAUUUACAAGAAAGUGAGUGCGGGCACUACAACAUUUCUGAUAAGUAUAUGUGAAUGACAUAUUGUUGAUCGGAAAUAAUGUAGAACUAUUCUGCAAAGCAUAAAGGAGUGUUUGAAAGGAGUUUUUUCAAAGAAAGACCUCGGUGAAGCUGCUUACAUAUUGAGCAUCAAGAUCUAUAGAGAUAGAUCAAGAUGCUUGAUAAGUUUAUUCAAUGAGUACAUACCUUGACAAGAUUUUGAAGUAGUUCAAAAUGGAACAGUCAAAGAAAGAGUUCUUGCCUGUGUUACAAGGUGUGAAAUUGAGUAAGACUCAAAAGCCCGACCACGGCAGAAGAUAGAAAGAGAAUGAAAGUCAUUCCCUAUGCCUCAGCUAUAGGUUCUAUAAAGUAUGCCAUGUUGUGUACCAGAUCUAUUGUAUACCCUACACUAAGUUUGGCAAAGGAGUACAAUAGUGAUCUAGGAGUAGAUCGCUGAACAGCGGUCAAAAUUAUCCUUAGUGGAAUAAGGAUAUGUUUCUUGAUUAUGGAGGUGACAAAAGGUUCGUCGUAAACGGUUACGUCGAUGCAAGCUUUGACACCGAUCUGGAUGACUCAAAGUCUCGAUCUAGAUACAUAUUGAAAGUGGGAGCUAUUAGCUAGAGUAGCUCCGUGCAGAGCAUUGUAAACAUAGAAAUUUGCAAAAUACUUACGGAUCUGAAUGUGACAGACCCGUUGACUAAAAUUAUCUCACAAGCAAAACAUGAUCACACCUUAGUACUCUUUGGGUGUUAAUCACAUAGCGAUGUGAACUAGAUUACUGACUCUAGUAAACCCUUUGGGUGUUGGUCACAUGUCGAUGUGAACUAUGGGUGUUAACCACAUAAAGAUGUGAACCAUUGAUGUUAAAUCACAUGGCGAUGUGAACUAGAUUAUUGACUCUAGUGCAAGUGGGAGACUAAAGGAAAUAUGCCCUAGAGGCAAUAAUAAAGUUAUUAUUUAUUUCCUUAUAUCAUGAUAAAUGUUUAUUAUUCAUGCUAGAAUUGUAUUAACCGGAAACAUAAUACUUGUGUGAAUACAUAGACAAACAAAGUGUCACUAGUAUGCCUCUACUUGACUAGCUCGUUGAUCAAAGAUGGUUAUGUUUCCUAACCAUAGACAUGAGUUGUCAUUCGAUUAACGGGAUCACAUCAUUAGGAGAAUGAUGUGAUUGACUUGACCCAUUCCGUUAGCUUAGCACAUGAUCUUUUAGUAUUAUGCUAUUGCUUUCUUCAUGACUUAUACAUGUUCCUAUAACUAUGAGAUUAUGCAACUCCCGUUUACCGGAGGAACACUUUGUGUGCUACCAAACGUCACAACGUAACUGGGUGAUUAUAAAGGUGCUCUACAGGUGUCUCCAAAGAUACUUGUUGGGUUGGCGUAUUUCGAGAUUAGGAUUUGUCACUCCGAUUGUCGGAGAGGUAUCUCUGGGCCCACUCGGUAAUGCACAUCACUAUAAGCCUUGCAAGCAUUGCAACUAAUGAGUUAGUUGCGGGAUGAUGUAUUACAGAACGAGUAAAGAGACUUGCCGGUAACGAGAUUGAACUAGGUAUUGAGAUACCGACGAUCGAAUAUCGGGCAAGUAAUAUACCGAUGACAAAGGGAACAACAUAUGUUGUUAUGCGGUUUGACCGAUAAAGAUCUUCAUAGAAUAUGUGGCAGCCAAUAUGAGCAUCCAGGUUCCGCUAUUGUUUAUUGACCGGAGACGUGUCUCGGUCAUGUCUAUAUUGUUCUCGAACCCGUAGGAUCCGCAUGCUUAAGGUUCAAUGAUGGUUAUAUUAUGAGUUUAUGUGUUUUGAUGUACCGAAGGUAGUUAGGAGUCCCGGAUGAGAUCGGGGACAUGACGAGGAGUCUCGAAAUGGUCGAGACGUAAAGAUCGAUAUAUUGGACGACUAUAUUCGGACAUCGGAAAGGUUCCGAGUGAUUCGGAUAUUUUUCGGAGUACCGGAGAGUUACGGGAAUUCGCCGGGGAGUAUAUGGGCCUUAUUGGGCUUUAGGGGAAAGAGAGAGGAGAGGCUGGGCGCCCCCCAAGGUCUAGUCCUAAUUGGACUAGGGGGAGGGGCUGCGCCCCCUCCUUCCUUCUCUUCUCUCUCCCCUUUCCUUGACUCCUACUCCUACUACUUGGAAGGGGGGAAUCCUACUCCCGGUGGGAGUAGGACUCCUCCUAGGGCGCGCCAUAGAGAGGGCCGGCCCUCCCCCUCCUCCACUCCUUUAUAUACGGGGAGGGGGCACCCCUUGGAGACACACCAAUUGAUCUCUUGAUCUCUUAGCCGUGUGCGGUGCCCCCCUCCACCAUAAUCCACCUCAAUAAUAUCGUAGCGGUGCUUAGGCGAAGCCCUGCAUCGGUAGAACAUCAUCAUCGUCACCACGCCGUCGUGCUGACGGAACUCUCCCUCAAAGCUCGGCCGGAUCGGAGUUCGAGGGACGUCAUCGAGCUGAACGUGUGCUGAAAUCGGAGGUGCCGUGCAUUCGGUACUUGAUCGGUCGGAUCGUGAAGACGUACGACUACAUCAACCAUGUUGUGCUAACACUUCCGCUUUCGGUCUACGAGGGUACGUGGACAACACUCUCCCCUCUCAUUGCUAUGCAUCACCAUGAUCCUGUGUGUGCGUAGGAAUUUUUUUGAAAUUGCUACGUUCCCCAACAGUGUUCACCGUUGAAACUACUCCAUCUCACGUGAUGAUCGGACAUGGUUUAGUUGAUAUGGAUCACGUGAUCACUUAGAGGAUUAGAGGGAUGUCUAUCUAAGUGGGAGUUCUUAAGUAAUAUGAUUAAUUGAACUUGAAUUUAUCAUGAACUUAGUACCUGAUAGUAUCUUGCUUGUCUAUGUUGAUUGUAGAUAGAUGGCCCGCGCUGUUGUUCCGUUGAAUUUUAAUGUGUUCCUUGAGAAAGCAAAGUUGAAAGAUGAUGGUAGCAAUUACACGGACUGGGUCCGUAACUUGAGGAUUAUCCUCAUUGCUGCAUAGAAGAAUUACGUCCUGGAAGCACCGCUAGGUGUACCACCUGCGCCAGCAAUUGCAGACAUUGUGAAUGCCUGGCAGCCACGUGUUGAUGACUACUCGAUAGUUCAAUGUGCCAUGCUUUACGGCUUAGAACCGGGACUUAAACGACGUUUUGAACGUCAUGGAGCAUAUGAGAUGUUCCAGGAGUUGAAGUUAAUAUUUCAAAAGAAUGCCCGGAUUGAGAGAUAUGAAGUCUCCAAUAAGUUCUACAGCUGCAAGAUGGUUCUGUCAGUGAGCAUAUACUCAAAAUGUCUGGGUAUAAUAAUCACAUGAUUCAACUGGGAGUUAAUCUUCCGGAUGAUAGCGUCAUUAACAGAAUUCUCCAAUCACUGCCACCAAGCUACAAGAGCUUCGUGAUGAACUAUAACAUGCAAGGGAUGGAUAAGACAAUUCCCGAGCUCUUUGCAAUGCUAAAGGCUGCGGAGGUAGAAAUCAAAAAGGAGCAUCAAGUGUUGAUGGUCAAUAAGACCACCAGUUUCAAGAAAAAGGGCAAAGGAAAGAAGAAGGGGAACUUCAAGAAGAACAGCAAGCAAGUUGCUGCUCAGGAGAAGAAACCCAAGUCUGGACCUAAGCCUGAGACUGAGUGCUUCUACUGCAAGCAGACUGGUCACUGGAAGCGGAACUGCCCCAAGUAUUUGGCGGAUAAGAAAGAUGGCAAGGUGAACAAAGGUAUAUGUGAUAUACAUGUUAUUGAUGUGUACCUUACUAAUGCUCGCAGUAGCACCUGGGUAUUUGAUACUGAUUCUGUUGCUAAUAUUUGCAACUCGAAACAGGGGCUACGGAUUAAGCGAAGAUUGGCUAAGGACGAGGUGACGAUGCGCGUGGGAAAUGGUUCCAAAGUCGAUGUGAUCGCGGUCGGCACGCUACCUCUACAUCUACCUUCGGGAUUAGUUUUAGACCUAAAUAAUUGUUAUUUGGUGCCAGCGUUAAGCAUGAACAUUAUAUCUGGAUCUUGUUUGGUGCGAGACGGUUAUUCAUUUAAAUCAGAGAAUAAUGGUUGAUCUAUUUAUAUGAGUAAUAUCUUUUAUGGUCAUGCACCCUUGAAGAGUGGUCUAUUUUUGUUGAAUCUUGAUAGUAGUGAUACACAUAUUCAUAAUAUUGAAGCCAAAAGAUGCAGAGUUGAUAAUGAUAGUGCAACUUAUUUGUGGCACUGCCGUUUAGGUCAUAUCGGUGUAAAGCGCAUGAAGAAACUCCAUACUGAUGGACUUUUGGAACCACUUGAUUAUGAAUCACUUGGUACUUGCGAACCGUGCCUCAUGGGCAAGAUGACUAAAAUGCCGUUCUCCGGAACUAUAGAGAGAGCAACAGAUUUGUUGGAAAUCAUACAUACAGAUGUAUUUGGUCCGAUGAAUAUUGAGGCUCGUGGCGGAUAUCGUUAUUUUCUCACCUUCACAGAUGAUUUGAGCAGAUAUGGGUAUAUCUACUUAAUGAAACAUAAGUCUGAAACAUUUGAAAAGUUCAAAGAAUUUCAGAGUGAAGUUGAAAAUCAUCGUAACAAGAAAAUAAAGUUUCUACGAUCUGAUCGUGGAGGAGAAUAUUUGAGUUAUGAGUUUGGUCUUCAUUUGAAACAAUGCGGAAUAGUUUUGCAACUCACGCCACCCGGAACACCAUAGCGUAAAGGUGUGUCCGAACGUCGUAAUCGUACUCUACUAGAUAUGGUGCGAUCUAUGAUGUCUCUUACUGAUUUACCGCUAUCGUUUUGGGGUUAUGCUUUAGAGACGGCCGCAUUCACGUUAAAUAGGGCACCAUCAAAAUCCGUUGAGACGACGCCUUAUGAACUGUGGUUUGGCAAGAAACCAAAGUUGUCGUUUCUUAAAGUUCGGGGCUGCGAUGCUUAUGUGAAAAAGCUUCAACCUGAUAAGCUCGAACCCAAAUCGGAGAAAUGUGUCUUCAUAGGAUACACAAAGGAGGCUGUUGGGUACACCUUCUAUCACAGAUCCUAAGGAAAAACUUUUGUUGCUAAAUUCGGAAUUUUUCUGGAGAAGGAGUUUCUCUCGAAAGAAGUGAGUGGGAGGAAAGUAGAACUUGAUGAGGUAACUGUACCUGCUCCCUUAUUGGAAAGUAGUUCAUCGCAGAAAUCGGUUUCUGCGACACCUACACCAAUUAGUGAGGAAGUUAAUGAUGAUGAUCAUGAAACUUCAGAUCAAGUUAUUACUGAACCUCGUAGGUCAACCAGAGUAAGAUCCGCACCAGAGUGGUAUGGUAAUCCUGUUCUGGAAGUUAUGUUACUGGACCAUGACGAACCUACGAACUAUGAAGAAGCGAUGGUGAGCCCAGAUUCCGCGAAAUGGCUUGAGGCCAUGAAAUCUGAGAUGGGAUCCAUGUAUGAGAACAAAGUGUGGACUUUGGUUGACUUGCCCGAUGAUCGGCAAGCAAUUGAGAAUAAAUGGAUCUUCAAGAAGAAGACUGACGCUGACAGUAAUGUUACUGUCUAUAAAGCUCGACUUGUUGCAAAAGGUUUUCGACAAGUUCAAGGGAUUGACUACGAUGAGACCUUCUCACCCGUAGCGAUGCUUAAGUCUGUCCGAAUCAUGUUAGCAAUUGCCGCAUUUUAUGAUUAUGAAAUUUGGCAAAUGGAUGUCAAAACUGCAUUCCUGAAUGGAUUUCUGGAAGAAGAGUUGUAUAUGAUGCAACCGGAAGGUUUUGUUGAUCCAAAGGGAGCUAACAAAGUGUGCAAGCUCCAGCGAUCCAUUUAUGGACUGGUGCAAGCCUCUCGGAGUUGGAAUAAACGCUUUGAUAGUGUGAUCAAAGCAUUUGGUUUUGUACAGACUUUUGGAGAAGCCUAUAUUUACAAGAAAGUGAGUGGGAGCUCUGUAGCAUUUCUGAUAUUAUAUGUGGAUGACAUAUUGCUGAUUGGAAAUGAUAUAGAAUUUCUGGAUAGCAUAAAGGGAUACUUGAAUAAGAGUUUUUCAAUGAAAGACCUCGGUGAAGCUGCGUAUAUAUUGGGCAUCAAGAUCUAUAGAGAUAGAUCAAGACGCUUAAUUGGACUUUCACAAAGCACAUACCUUGACAAAGUUUUGAAGAAGUUCAAAAUGGAUCAAGCAAAGAAAGGGUUCUUGCAUGUGUUACAAGGUGUGAAGUUGAGUAAGACUCAAUGCCCGACCACUGCAGAAGAUAGAGAGGAGAUGAAAGAUGUUCCCUAUGCUUCAGCCAUAGGCUCUAAUGUAUGCAAUGCUGUGUACCAGACCUGAUGUGUGCCUUGCUAUAAGUCUAGCAGGGAGGUACCAAAGUAAUCCAGGAGUGGAUCACUGGACAGCGGUCAAGAACAUCCUGAAAUACCUGAAAAGGACUAAGGAUAUGUUUCUCGUUUAUGGAGGUGACAAAGAGCUCAUCGUAAAUGGUUACGUUGAUGCAAGCUUUGACACAGAUCCGGACGAUUCUAAAUCGCAAACCGGAUACGUGUUUACAUUAAACGGUGGAGCUGUCAGUUGGUGCAGUUCUAAACAAAGCGUCGUGGCGGGAUCUACGUGUGAGGCGGAAUACAUAGCUGCUUCGGAAGCAGCAAAUGAAGGAGUCUGGAUGAAGGAGUUCAUAUCCGAUCUAGGUGUCAUACCUAGUGCAUCGGGUCCAAUGAAAAUCUUUUGUGACAAUACUGGUGCAAUUGCCUUGGCGAAGAAAUCCAGAUUUCACAAGAGAACCAAGCACAUCAAGAGACAACGUAUUCAGGUUGUAUUAUAUUUAAUUCUUACCUUAGACGAAUGAUAUAUGUGCCAAAUUUUGCGUCCAAUGGGAUGGACCUGUUCUUCUAAGAUGGGACACCACAAUUCCAUUAAAUCUAUGGCUCAGCAAAUGUGCUGGCACAACAAGCACGGCAACGGUUGACAUGUCCUCAACCCAUAGAUGUAUCUAGAUGUAUUUCAGUGAUAAAUAUAUCCACUAGAGCGACAAAUAGUUUGGAUCGGAGGGAGUAGUAGAGAUGAAAUUACGUGUCAUGGUGUAUUUAAUGAUAUGUAUUUCAUAUUCUAGAUGUAAAUAUUUUUUCUAAAAACUUGAUCAAAUUUUGUAAAGUUCGACUUUUCAAAAAGGAUGUAGACACUGCAUUAUGGAACAGAGGGAUUAUUCUGAUUAUGCCAAUACAGAAAAUUCAAAACCACUUUCAGAGAAAAAAUUGCAAUUUCUGCCCUUUCUUUCUAAAACAUUUCUUCACUUUUGUUAUUUGGAGGAAAAAACGUUCCGAACUGAACUGGGCUGAAUUCCGCGGCCCAGCAUCUCUCCCUAUCCACGGGCUGCAGCCCAUCCUCCUUUCUUUCUCUUCUCUUCCACCUGGGCCUUGGCCCAUCUUCUCUCUCAGCCACCCCCACCUCCUUCUUCCGCAGCCGCAGCCACUGCAGUGGACGUAACGCCCGGCUGCGCCGCCGCCGCCGAUCCUGCCGUUUCCUUCAAAUCGAUCGCGUCCGGCCUCCGUCCCCGUAAUUCCCCGAGCCUCGACUCCUUCAGCCUCCAUCUCCAAUUCCCCAUGGACAUGGCGACCUGCCGUCUGCCGACCUGAUUUGAGCGACCAACGACCACGCACUCGUCGGUUCCUCUGACCUCCUCCUCAAUUCCCUUUUUCUAGGUUGGAGCCGCACGCCACCGACGCCGGGAGGCGGCGGCCCGUGCACCCGCCGCUGACGCACUGGACCUGCUCCUCGCCGUCUCUUCGAUCGGUACCGCACACCCACGCCGUACUGCACGCUAGCACGCCGCCGACGCCUGCUCCCUGGUUACAGGUUAUUGCUUAGACUGCCGGCCCUUCUAAUCGAUGAGUUAUAAGUAUCUGAAAUUCAUCACUCAAAAUUUACGAGUUACAGUACAGACUUUGAUGCAUUAGUUGAUGCCUAGACUUGGUCACAAACUUGUAUUGAUUGAUAAUAAGAGAGAUGUGGGUUGGAGCUUCAGUUGGAUCGUUUUAUUGCGGAUGAUAAAAGAGAUAUGGCUUUUUUGCAUGCAUAUUGUGUGUUUUUAUAUCUAAUAACUGGCCCCCUCCGCUUUGGUCAUCCUCCGCCACUGGGUUGGUGCCAUCUAAUCAACUGUCAUUACCUGGGACGAUUUUCCAAAAACAAAACAAUUACACGACGAGAGAGAACUAAUACUACCUCUUUCGAAUUUGUCAGACACCAAAAAAAAAA
rnacentral:lncRNA from 1 species